GUGGUGAUGGCGGUGGAGGUGGUGGAGACUUGUACUUGUAAGGGUGCUUGGGUGGGGAUGGAGGUGGUGGUGGGGGAGACUUGUACUUGUAAGGAUGCUUUGGAGGUGAUGGUGGUGGUGGUGGUGGAGACUUGUACUUAUAAGGAUGCUUUGGUGGUGAUGGUGGUGGAGGUGGUGGGGACUUGUACUUGUAAGGGUGCUUGGGUGGUGAUGGUGGUGGAGGUGGUGGAGACUUGUACUUGUAAGGGUGCUUGGGUGGUGAUGGUGGUGGAGGUGGUGGAGACUUAUACUUGUAAACUGGAGAUGGUGGGGGUGGAGACUUGUACUUGUAAGGGUGCUUGGGUGGUGAUGGUGGUGGUGGUGGGGACUUGUACUUGUAAGGAUGCUUGGGUGGUGAUGGUGGUGGAGGUGGAGGAGACUUGUACUUGUAAGGAUGCUUGGGUGGUGAUGGUGGAGGAGGUGGUGGAGACUUAUAGUUGUAAACAGGAGUUGGUGGGGGAGGAGAUUUGUACUUGUAAGGCUUCUUGUGUGGUGGUGGUGGUGGAGAGUAGACCGGAGGAGGCGGUGGUGGAGACUUGUAAUGGUAAGGUGGUGGUGGGUACUUCUUAGGUGGUGGUGGAGGAGAAGAAUAAGUGUAAUCUGCUGAGGUUUCAAAAGGCAAAUUGAGAGACACUGCUAAAACUAAAAGAGUGAGAAAGAGAGAGGUCAUUGAUGACCCCAUUUUCCCCAUCCUUACUUCUAAAAAUGGGUUUAAUUUGGUUAUGCUCUUAGCAGCCCUCUUCACUCCCUUUAUAUAGACUUUGUUUUAAAGUUACAAUCAUGAUAAAAGUGUGAAGGUGGACCGAACCUUCAGCAGCAUUGAAAAAAGACGUUACGUUUAGGUUAUUAGCAUGGUAUGACAUAAUAAUUCUCUAUUCUCUUCCUUGUCGUUUCCCAUAAAUUUAAUUUAAAUAGUCCAUUUGCUAUAUUUAUAUUUCUGUUUCUCUAUUAAAUAUUUAUCAAAUUCAUUUCUCACUCCUUAUAGAAUAUGAAUAAUUAAUCAUUAAACUCGAUUUAGUAAAUACUUUAAAAAAUGAUUUAUCUUAUUUUUAUGCUUUAAUUAAGGCAUCAAAUCAUUAAUCCCAUUUGAUAUUAUGAAAAUUUAUCACUUAAUUGAUCAAAAUGUGAUUCUUGGCAGGAAAACAUAAUUUACUUUCCUUAAAAUGUAAUUUUUAUUGAGAGUUAUUUUUCCACUAACAAUAGAAAGUGAUUCUCUUUAUAAUUCGUGAAAAAAUUACUUUCACAUGUAAAUAAAAAUUGUUAGGAUAAAAUUAACUUUUCUUUUAUUUAUGUUAAGGUUACUAAUUAACUUAUUCAACUUUAAUAAAAGAUAAACAUAGUUGUAGCUUGUUUGUUGAUGUUAGUUUUUUGUCUUUACAACUUCAAACCAUUAUUCUAGUGUAAUUUUUUUUUCUUUCUAAAUAGUAGAUAAGUAUCUAUAUUUUAUUUUGCUAUAAGAAAAUUAUAUUUUUUAGCAUACAAAACUUAAGAUAACUUGUAGAAUCAAGUAGUUGUAUACCUAUUACUCUAGCAAUAAUAAUAUUGACAUUGUCUACUUUCAAAUUAAAAUUUCAAAUUAGUUCAUUGCCCAAUUUUCUCAUUAAAAAAAAUUAUAUAUAACAUGUCAACUUAACGAAACUUACAUGAAAUUUUGUAUGUGUUAAAAAUGAAAAAUAUGGCGGUUAUUAAAAAAGAUGUCAUACAUCUAAAUCAAACUACUAAUUUAAAAAUUAGUAUUGAGAUAAUUUCAAGCCAUAUAUGCAAUAUUUGAGUAUACUUGAACUUAUACAUACAAAUUAGUGAGGAUUAAAAUUUUGUAAAUUGUACAUCUUCACAAUCUUGCGUUAAUAUACAAUUUUUUUAAUGUAUUAAUAUAAUGUUUUAGAUCAAGACGUGAAAAAACAUAAUUCAAAUAUUUGUUAAUAGUAAAAAAUUAUUAAUAAAUAUUUAAUUCAAAAUUUAUUAAUAAUAAAAAUUAUUGAAAAAUAUUAAAUACGUUAAUAUUAUUUUUAUUUAAUAAUGAUACUUUUGUACAGUAAUCUUAUAUUCCCAAAUAAGUGUUAAAUGUGUCAAGAUUUUAAUCAAUACUUUCCGGUGAUUACCAAACGUUGUGAAGUAACUUCUUAAACAAUAAUAUUCUUAUCAAUCACAUUCCAUUAAAAUUUUAACAUAGAAAAGCACCAAAACGCCCCCUUAAAAUCGUGGUAAGUCUUGUUUGUCUAAAAUUUAAAUAUUUAUUUUAUUAUUUAAAAUAUAUUAAUUUUCUAAAAAAAAUCAUUAAUAUUUAUAUUUCUAAUUUUAAACAUUCUUUUGUUAAUUAAAUGAUAGUCUAAACGGUUAAACUCAAAUCGAAAGCAUUUUAUCUUAUAUUAGAUUAUAUGAAUCAUAUUAUGGUUGAAAGUAAAAUGUAUAAAAUCAAUACAAACAUCAAAUAUUAAACUUCCACUCAAUAGAUUUUAAAAUUUCUAAUUUUAUCACUAAUCUAUUUUAAGAUUUUUUUAAAAAAAAUCGUACUUUAGAUUAUCUAAUUUAAAAUUUUAUAAAAUUAUUAAAAAAUAUUCUUGUAAUAAAAAAAAUUUGUUUUAAAAUUUUUAAUUUUUUAUAUAACCAAUGAAUUUUUUACGUUUGUUUUAACUGGUUAUCUAAACAAAAUAAAAACUUAUUUAGUUUAAAUAAAGUGGUAAAUGUGAAAGCACCACAAAUCACAACUACAUUAGUUUUAUAAUUGGAUUAAUUUAAUCACCGGCAGAGGAAAUGUGUUAGUUCUAGCUACCAACAAUUCAUUUUAAUUCCUUUAAAAAUAUUAGAAAAAACCAAUUUGAUUUUUAAUAAUAGAUCUAAUUACUUAAAGGAACAUGGGUGAUGUGCACAUGGCAUACAAGCAUAAAAAAGAACAAAAAGAUUAAGUAUCUUUGCAAAAUAUCUCUCUCUGAAAUAAAUAAAACUUAAAAAAAAACAAUUUUAUUAUCAAAAUAAAAAGAAAAUAGUGUUUUUCUUCACAAAAAAAGAAAAGAAAAGAAAUACUAGUGUUUUUAAUUAAAAUAGAGUGAUCUGGGUAGAAUCUUUUACUUAAAUACUGACAUUGACUUUAUAAGCUAUUUUUUAUCAAAAGAAGAAAGAGAAAAGCAUCCGAUUGAAGAUGUGAAUUAUUAAGUUAAAAUUAAUCAUACAUGUAAAAUAUUAUUGUGCUUUUUUCUAGCCCUCCGAAAGACAUUAUGCUUUGAUUACAACAUUCUUCCUCAGAGAUGAGGUUUGAAGAUGAACUCGGAUGCAUUUAGAUUUUUACAAGACGAAAGUAAAUUAAAGGAUGUUAGUACUUGUAUUCCGAUACGCUUAUAAUACAGAAAGCAAGUAAUAUGUGACUGUACAUAAUGGCUAUGAGGCGAGGAUAUGAUACGAGAAGAUAGAGAUGAGAGAUUGCACUUAAGGGGUUAGCACCUCUUUUCUUUUUGUGUUUGGUCCCCAAAGCAUAUCUCUUAUUGGCUGAUGUUGCAAGGCGGUCCCAUAAGUUGGGCUAAAAGUGCUUGAUAGCUAGAAUUAAUAUUGUGGUAUAACAUAUGUCACCCCUAUAUUUGAAUAAGGUUACAAAGUGACUACUUGAAGAUUUAAAAAAGCAUGGAGAUAAUUUUGUUGCGAAAAUUAAAAGUAAGAGCUAAAUUGUUUGGCUUUAUUAGAGUAUAGACUCUGUUAGUCUAUUAUCAUUUUGUUAUAUAGGCUGGAAUAUUAUUAGUAAGCAGUUAGCAGCAGUUAGUCAUACAAGUAUAAAUUCUAUUCAUGUAUUGUUCAAAGAUAAGCUAAUAAUACCAGAAGAGAUUUAACAUGUUCAUUCUACUUUUUUUUGUUAUUCUUCAUAAUACAGUUGUUAACAUGGUCUCAGUCGCCAAAUUUCUUGGAGGUUGCUUCUAUUGUAGAUCCAUGGCCAAUUCCACUGAUUCUACCUUCGCUGGUCGUAGCAGUCCCUCAUUCUCAGUUCAUGUUUGGUUCAAUCGUUUCCUCGUCAUGGCACUGUGAAGUUAGAUGAAGGAAAUUUUGUACAAUGGCAACAGCAUAUCCAAUUGAUAAUUGAAGGAUAUGAACUCAUAAGAUUUUUAGAAGGGACGUUACCUGCUCCGCCUCGCUUUGUGUCAUCUCCGGAUGGAAACUUAGCUCUGACUCCCGAUGCAUCCCUGUUUGUUCAGCAAGAUAAGUUACUCGCUUAUUGGUUACUUUUUACGAUUAGUGCUCCUUUGUUUUCUUGUUUUACAACUGCUAAGACGGCGUGUGAGGUUUGGAGCACUGCGAAUUGCCUAUUUGCUGCUGCCACUAGAGCCAAGCUUUCGCGUAUUAAGCAUGAACUCCAGUCCAUCACGAAAGGCGUGAUGACUAUCAAAGAGUAUAUUGCUAAGAUUCAAAAUACUUGUGCGUUACUCGAGGAAUCUAGAUCAGUGGUUUUAAAGGCUGAAAAGGUAGAGAUCAUUCUUGCCGGCCUAUUGUCUGAUUAUGAUGUCGUUUUAACUCUGGCAUCGUUCUCAACUGAAACUUUUUCGUUAUAAAAGAUUGUUGAUAUGCUUCUGGAGUUCGAAAGCCAUCAGACUCAAGCGGUGAACGACGUACCUUUUCAUGCUCAUUUGGUAGAGGCCACUUCGGCGACAUCCGUGGAGGACUCCGUACGUGGUGGUCGUCCUCCUUCUGGUGCUCGUAGGCGCGACUUUCGAUCUCAGCUUCAGUGCCAGGACUAUGGUUGCUAUGGACAUUUGGUACAAUGCUGUUAUUAUCAGUUCAACCGCGACUACAGUGAUCUGUCUGUUUUGACCAUGGCGCGGGUUUCGCCUGUUCAUGCUGAUCACAAUUAGCAUAACGAUGUUUUUGGCGCAAGUGGUCUCUCGACUAGCUGGUUUUCAUCAACUUGUCCUGGUCCGGACCCGUUCGUGCCUGGACAGUAUGUCGAUUCUUUGGUGGUGACACCGGCGUAUUUCUCUUAUGGCUCAUCAUGGUGAGGGUGGCCACAUUUGCAAAACAAUGCCUCCCUUGUGCCAAGUUUGUUGAAUGUUAAGGUUUCUAACCCUUUUGCUCAUAAUUUUGACGAUGGGGCAGGCUAGGUGUUUGGGCUCGCUGUUGGACCAAGCUCAAAUUGUGGCCAAUUUGGUGGUCCUCACUUACCGCGGAGAAUGGGCCAGCACGUUAGGCCAUUUGCUAGUGUUCCUAGGCCGACUGGUUCAGGCCAAGAUUUUGGGCCAUAUGGAAUUCGUAGGCUAACCAGUGCUGGUCCUAACAUUGGACAGGGUUCACUUGGGCCAAAUGUUAAUUUUGUUAGACUUGAGGGCUCUUUUGGGCAUGGACAAGGACUUUGGCCCACCACUGGCAAUGUUUCAGUGCCAAAUAAUGGGUCAUGCGUUCCAUGGCGCACUAAACUGACGGCGCACAUUAUUGAUUGAUUUCUCACUGUGUGUUGGGUUGCCUCACAUUCUUGAUUUUCAUGUGUCUGAUAUUUUUACUACCUCUGGGUCCAAUGCUAACACGACUCCGUAUGGGUCUAAUUUUGAUAAUGAUAACUCUUACAUUCCUAUGCCUGUAGGGACCUUGUCCUGGUGUCUUAAUUCAGGGUCUAUACAUCAUGUCUAUCGAGAAGCCUCUACCUUGAACGAGUCUACGCCAUACUCAGGUACAUCUCCUCUCCUCAUGGAUGAUAUUACUCCUACAAAAAUAUCAUGUGUUGGAAACUCUAUCUUGCCUACGAAGACUAAGCUGUUUCAUCUAUCUAAUGUUUUGUGUGUGCCAAAUAUACGGAAGAAUCUGCUAUCUGUCUCUCAAUUUGCUAAUGACAAUAAUAUGGUCUUUGAAUUUCACCCGUCUUAUUGAGGACAUCCAGACUCAGGAAAUUUUGCUUCGGGGCCACACUCGUGAUGGGCUCUAUUAUUUUUCGUAGGUUACUCAUGUUCCGUCUGUCGUUGUUCCUUCUGUUCACAACACUGGGCUCCAGAGUCGCAAUGCCGGUGAUGAUGUUUUUACGUUAUGGCACUACAGACUUGGUCAUCCGUCUGCCUCGAUUGUUAAACUUGUUCUCGAUAAGUGUCAAGUUGUUUCAACUAAAAUGUACCUUGAAAAUAUUUGUAUUGCUUGUCAAAAGGGGAAGUCCCAUAAACUGUCUUUUUCAAGUUCUACUACUAAAUAUACGGAUUUGUUUGAAUUGGUUGUCUUUGACUUAUGUGGACUGGCAUCUGUUGUCUGUAGAAAUAAUCUGUAUCAUGUUUCGUUUAUCGACAUGUGUAGUUAUUUUACUUGGAUUUAUCUCAUUAAACGUAAUUCUAAGGAGGUUGAAUGUUUUCUUCAGUUUCAGAAAAUGGUCAAAACUCAGUUUGGGAAAGAUAUUAAAAAAAUUCAAAGUGAUUGGGGUGGUGAGUUUCUUGCCUUUACGUCAGUUCUGGCUAGUCAUGGGAUACUUCAUCACCUCUCCUGUCCAUAUACAUCCGAGUAGAACGAUGUAGCUGAACGAAAACAUCGACACAUUGUUGAGAUGAGUCUUAUUCUAUUGGCCAAAGCUAACCUAUCCAUGGAUUUCUGUGGUUUCGUAUUUUACAAUGCCAUUCAUCUCAUUAGUCUUCUACCGACCCUAGUUCUGAAAGGUCAGUCUCCAUAUCAGGUUCUUCAUGGUAGUGACCCUACAUAUGAUCAUUUACAAGUAUUUAAGUGUUGUUGAUUUUCGUACCUGCGUCUGUUUCUGCAACACAAGUUGGAUUUUCAUUCUCAGCCAUGCAUAUUUUUUAGGUAUAGUUCUCAACAUAAAGGCUAUCACUGCCUCACACCAAAUGGUAAGGUCAUUGUCUCUCGUCAUGUUGUGUUUGAUGAACGUUGGUUUUUCUUUUCUUCAAAUGCUGUGAACACCGUUCAGUUAAGUCCAUGUAUCUCUACAUAUGUUCCUAUUGUUCGGUCUUCAUCUUGCCGCCCCACGACAUCUUCGCUUGUUCGACCCACUGAGUCAUCGACUCUUGCUCCUAAUUGUAGUUCCACGCUGUCUGUUUCAGUUGACACUCCGGCUGAAUUAGGUUUUACUCAUGAGGUGCAUCGGCUCUCUACCUCAUCCCUUGAAUCUCGUCAAUGCGAUCCAACUACAAUUCCAUUGGCUGUUCCAUCUAUUUCUCUGGAAUACUCAUAACACUAUUACUCAGCUAGACCCAAAGCUCUGUCUGUUGAAAUUGUCAACUGUGAGUCGAUCACGAUUGAAGAGGCGCUCGCUAGUAAGGAAUGGCAAUUAGUUGUCCAAGCUGAGUUUGUUGCUAUAAUGGUUAACUCCACUUGGGAGCUUGUUCCCUUACCUCAUGGUCGAAAAGUGAUUAGGUGUAAGUGGCUUUUUAAAAUAAAAAAAUCCUGAUGGGACUAUCACUUGACGUAAGGCUCGGUUGGAAGCAAAGGGUUGUUCUCAGGUACUCAGGUGUGAUUUCAAGGAAACCUUUAGUUUGGUAGUUAAACCUGCUACUAUUAGAACCAUAUUAUCUGUUGCUAUCUCCAACGGUUGGCAAUUUGGUCAGGUAGAUGUGAACAAUGCUUUUUUAAAUGGUGAUCUUAUUGACGAAGUGUUCAUGCAGCAACCUCUAGGCUAUGUUCAGAUUGGUCAAAAUGGUGAGCCCUUGGUGUAUCAUUUGACAAAGGUGUUGUACAGAUUAAGACAAGCUCCACGUGCUUGGUUUGAUAAAUUGAAACGUUUUUUUGUUUCUAUUGGAUUUGCUUUAUCCAAAUCUGAUGUAUCCUUAUUUGUUCAAGUUAAUUCGAAUCCACUAUUUAUGUUUUAGUCUAUAUGGAUGAUAUUAUCGUUACUAGAAGUACGAUCGACGGUAUAAAUGGCUGUAUUCAAUAGUUACAUAAUGUGUUUCCCUUAAAGAUAUGGGAGAUCUUUACUACUUCUUAGGCAUUGAAGUCACUCGGUAGUCCACUGGGAGUCUCCAUUUGUGCCAACGCAAAUACAUUCGGGAUCUUCUUGACAGUAGUUUUUUAGCUAAUGCAAAGAGUGUUCACACACCGAUGGUUAGUUCUUUUACGUUGUUUAAAGAUGUGGGAGAUCGCCUCGUUGAUCCUACUGGAUAUAGAAGUCUUGUCGGUGUAUUACAAUAUGUGGUCUUGACUCUGCCUGAUAUUGCUUAUGCUAUAAAUCAUGUUUGUCAAUUCAUGCAUGCCCCUACUACAGUACAUUUGGUGGCUUUGAAAAGAAUCUUGCACUAUUUAUGUGACACUAUUAAUCAUGGGUUAAUUUUGUCUGUUCAACAUAUUGUCUUUAGUUGGCUAUGCUAAUGCCAACUGGGGACUGGAUUUUGAUGAUCGUAAAUCAACAACAAGCUAUUGUUUGUAUUUUGGGUAUACACCCAUCUCUUGGUGAUCUAAGAGACAACUCUACUGCGUGAGGCGAAGUAUUUUGGCCGCACCAUGGCUGAGGUGAAGUAUCGAAGUCUAGCAACAACUACCAGUGAUGUUACUUGGUUAGUCUCUCUACUAACAAAAUUACAGAUUCAUUCUAUAGAUCCACAUACUAUUUGGCGUGACAACUCUAAUGCAGUAGCGGUCAUUGCUAAUCCGGUCUGACACUCUAAAUUUAAACAUGCCAAGCUUGAUCUAUUUUUUGUUCGCGAAAAGGUCGCUAAUGGUUCUCUCGUUGUCGGUGAGAUUCUAGCAUGUGAUUAAGUUGCUGACAUUCUCACAAAACCACUGUUCGUCUCUACUUUUGCUAGGUUUCGUAGUCUGCUUCAAUUCUUACCUCUUGAGAAGCUGGGUGAAGCCAGGUGAAUAUUAGAGUAUAGACUCUGUUAGUCUGUUACCAUUUUGUUAUUCAGGCUGGAAUAUUGUUAGUAAGCAGUUAGUCAUAGCAGUUAGUCAUACAAUUAUAAAUUCUAUUCAUGUAUUGUUCAAAGGUAAGCUAAUAAUACCAAAAGAGAUUUAAUGUGCUCAUUCUACUUUCUUUGUUAUUCUUCAUAAUACAGUUGUUAACAUGCUUGAUAUCAUCUCUUAGAGAGAACGAGGAGAGAUAAGAGUAAGAGUAUGAGCCAACUAGGGAUAAGGCUCUACCAUAAUACCUUGGAUGCAAUUAAAGUAAGAGUAAGAGCCAACUUGUUUGGCUUGAUAGCAUCCCCUUAUAGAAAAGGCUCUACCGCAUGGCAUGAGAGCAAUAAAAGUAACACUCAAUUUCUUGGGUUGAUAGCAUCUCCUUAGGGAAAAGGGUUUACCAUGUGACAUGAAAGCAAUUAAAGUAAGAGUAAGAUCCAACUUGUUUGUCUUAAUAGCAUCAUUUAAGAGAAAUAUCCCAAUCAAUUUAUUCAAAUAUGUUAAUCAAAUAAUGCAAGUUACAAUGUUCUGUCAGUUUUUCCUUUAAUUGUAACUGGGUUAAAGUUGGUAGUUGUAACUGCUACUAAUAGAAUGGAUACGGUAGAAAUGGUUGCAAGCAACAUAAGCAAAGAUGACUUUAAUGUCUUUGUAUUGACCACGUGAGAACUAUAGAAUGCAGAGAAUAGUAUGGUGAUUGGCAACAGAAUGCUACUAACCUUGAGGAUAGUAGACAGGGAUGGAUCCACGGGGGUUGGGGGCGGUCCCCCCUUGGAAUUUUUAAAAUUUUAAAUUUUAUAUAUAAAUUAUCAUGUAUUUUAAAUUUGGUGUCCACAUUGUAUAGCAUUCACCCCCCUUUUCCAAAUUGCAUUUCAUAUCAUUUGCCCUCUUAAGCCAUAAGGUUAUACUUUAUAUUAACAAAGUAUUUUCCAUUUUUUAAUUAUAUAAAUUUAAUAAUAAUAAUAAUAAUCAAAUAUUAAUAUAUGAUUGGCAUUGAAAGACUAAACAUAAAGGUCCAGUUGAGACUUUAAAGCCAAAUUCCAUAAUUAAUUAAUUGAUUUGGCCCAUACCAGUACAUAUUAGGUUAGCGAAAUUCUUGUAUUUUGAUUUGUAUGUCUUGCUAAGGAAUUAUCUUCCUUUGGUAAGGUGUUGACACUGCCAAGAGAAAAAGAAAGGAUUUUGAUGUCGAGAUUGUGAGCAUAGAGUAAAAAAAAUACAAAUUAUCUUCCUCUUAGCUCCUUAUGGAAAAAACCUCUCGGUAAAUAUUUUUGCAUAAAUUAUGUUUUUUAUUAAUUUGACUUAGUUUUUUUCUUUUUUCCUAAUACAUUGUUGUUUAAUAUAUUCUUACAAUCAUCAGGUUUUUUGACUAAAUUAUGGUCAAUAAAAACAUCGAAUCUAUUUAAAAAAAAAGAGUGUCAGAAAGCAAUAAUGAUCAACCGGUUCCUCAACCUUCCAUUAUUAGUGAAGAAAAAUCAAAUAUCGGAUCUUCCAAAGCUCUUGAACAAAAUAUCAGGUCUUCUUAAGCCCAAGCUCCUAAAUGCGGUAUGGAGUCUUCCCCAACUCCUGAACGAGAUUGUAACAAUCCAUACCCAAUUCGAUCACCAAAUCCAAGUAGAGAGCGCCGCAACUUAAACCAUAUGAAUUGAAUAAUAAAUAUUUGAAAUUUAUUAAAGUAUCGAGUUCUUGGUGUAACCCUCAGUAUAACAAUACGAAACAAUUAAAUCAAUGAUACGCCAGGAAAAAAUGUUUUUAGGCAAAACACAUGGCGGAAGCCUUACAAAAUUUUAUAAGUUUAUAUAAAAUGUAAGAUGAGUUAAUCCCAUACAACAGUUUCAAGUGCAUCGUUGGCGGUUAAAAGAACAUUCAAAAACUAUUCGGCGUAUAUGCCAAUGAGACAAUCACGUGGAACAAGAUAUAGUAGCUUAAACACAUACAUCACUUACCACGUCAUCAUAACAUAUACUAACCAUAUAAACAAACUUAUCGAGCUGCGAACUAACAAGUUCACCCAAACAUCUAGGGUUAGCGAUAACUUAUUAGAAGAGCCCGCCAAACCCUAGAGUUCGCCAAAACCUGGAGUUCACCAAAUGGCGACUCCCAUAGAAUACGCCAAACACACAACCAAAAAUAAAUACUCUACUAAUUUACUCAUUUUAUAUUCUUAGCAUAAACAACUAUGCACCAAACAGUAACUUGAUACAUUAUCUUUCGGGCGAGUUGUUACAAUUCUCCCCCAUUUAGAAACUUUUGUCCUUGAAAUUCUUACCGGUGAAUAACUGAGGAUAUUGUUCUUUCAUCGAACUCUCUCUUUCCCAAAUGGCUUCUUUUGUAUUGUGAUUUAUCUAUAAUACAUUAACCAAAGGAAUUCUUUUACUUCUCAACUCUUUUACUUCCCUUGCUAAAAUACAAACAGGUUCUUCUUCAUAGGACAAGUUUUGCUCCACUUCCAGUGCUUUGACUUGUACCACAUAAUCUGGAUUGGAUUGAUAUUUUCUUAACAUAGAUAUAUUAAACACAUUAUGUAUAUUUGAUAACUCUGGUGGCAACACCAGUUUGUAUGCCACUGGACCAACUUAUUCCAAAAUCUCAUAUGGUUCUAUGAAAUGCAGACUUAAUUUCCCUUUUUGUUCAAACCUUAUGAUCUUCUUCCAAAGAGAAAACUUCAUAAAUGCAUUGUCACCCACUUCGAAAGAGAUUAUUUUCCUUUUUAGAUCAGCAUAAGCUUUCUGGCGAUCUUAAGUUACUUUCAGAUGAUUUCUAAUGAUAAAGACUUUCUCUUCUGUUUCUCAUACUAAAUCAAGACCAACUAUUUUCCUUUUACUGAGUCUCAUCCAAUAGGUAGGAGAUCUGCACCUUCGUCUAUACAAAGCUCCAAAUGGUAACAUUCCCAGACUGUCAUAAUAACUAUUAUUAUACGCAAACUCUAGCAAAGGAAGAUAUCUUUCUCAAUUCAUUCUAAAAUCUAUAAUACAACCUCUAAACAUGUCUUCUAGAACUUGAAAUACUCUUUCAAAUUGCUCAUCGAAUUAGGGAUGAAAGGUAGUACAGAAUCAUUAUUUCGUUCCCAACGAUUCUUGCAGUUGUCUCCAAAAUCUCAAUGUAAACAUUGGGUCUCGAUCUGAAACUAUGGAUGUUGGAAUCCCAUGAGGCGUACAACUUCAGAAACGUAGAGAUUAGCCAACUUUUCCAAUAAGUAAUUUGUGCGGACAAACAAGAUAUGGGCUAACUUAGUAAGUCGAUCUACAAUUACCUAGACUGAGUACUUCUUCGAAAGGAUGAGAGGGAGAGCCAAAACAAAAUCCAUGGUGAUCUUAUCCCACUUCCACAUAGAUAUCUCUAAAAGGUACAACUUGCCUAAGGGAACCUGAUGUUCUAUUUUAAUCUGCUGACAUGUCAAACAAAUGGAAAUGUACUUUGUUAUUUCUUUCUUCAUUUCAAGUCAGUAAUACAAACUUAUCAAAUUAUGAUACAUUUUAUGUAAAACUCUCAACCCAACUCGAAAUGUCGAGUCUGGAUCUCGGGUAUUACUAUACAUAAUACUUGGCAAAAUAUCAAAAUAGUUGACAAAUACUCUUUAUAGAAAACAUUUUCUUAUUAUUUUAACCAAAAGACUAAAUAUUUAAUAACAAGAGAAAAUAUUAAAAACAAAAAAAAAUUAUUACAUCAGACUUGGUACAACUCAUUAUAGUAUAAAAUUUUGUUAAAGACAUACUCUUGGGGCAUAACCCUAAUCUAAGCCACUUUUCCACUAUAUGCAUAAUAACCCACUUCGCCACUAUCUUGGCGUACUCCUAGCAUCGUCACUCCUAAUGCAUUCUCUACCCAUACACCUGAAAACAACAACAUUUUAAGCUUAAGAUAACUUAGUGACUUUUAUCCCAAAAAUACCUUGGCGAGUACUUUAUAUUAUUUGAAGAACAUUUGUGCGCCAUCUAUCCUUCUGAACCACCUUCUUCUGAAUUAAGUGGAUACUAUUAUAGAUUCAACUUUCACUUACACGCCAACUAUCAUACUCUUAACAAACUCACUUAUUCUAGAAUAGUUGUUCACAUAUAUUAAUCACUAAUUGAUACAUUCAUAUUUGGCGAAUACUUACGCAGAUCUGAAUACCAUCAAACUACUAAUCAAAUCAUACCUUGAUCCGAUACCAUACAAACUCAUACUGAUAAUGUACUACACAAAUUAUUCAAAUGAAUUUUCCACUACUUUGUUACAGGACCCCAGAUAAUCAUCAUAACAAUAACUCAAUUUUCAUAUGAUUUCAGAAGAAGAUAUAAUACAACCCAAAUACGGCAAAUUCCAGAUAACUCAGAUUCAACAACUGCUUAACACAUACGAACUCACAUUUAUAAUUUCUUAUGUCCCACAUAACUACGACUAUGUCUAUAUUCAACACUAACAAAUAAUCAUGACGGAUACCCUUCUUAUACAUAUAUGCAUUUCUUUUCUAGAAAUCUCUUAAGACUUACUCAAUUAUAUCACAUAUCUUAUUCAACCCUUAACUUUAGACAUAUCAUAACCCUAUCAUAUCAAUAUCUAUCACAAAAAAAAUCAGGAUUUAUCCAAAACUUACCAUAAAGGUAGAUAAUCAUAUUAUAUCAGACAAACUUAACUAAAUGUGCCACAAAGGCCAAACAAAAUAUGCCUUAAAGGCUUCAUACAAAAUCACGUGUUUACUAUCCCGACGGACUAUCACAAAAGGUGUCAUGGGUUUCUCCCACAUGGACUUAUACAUAAUUUCAUGUAUUGUGAUCUGCCAUUUUGAAUCAUACGUUAUCGAAGGAUACUCCAUAAGCAUACAUACAGACAUAUCUUGCCAUGUGUCUCAGCCACAUGGCUUAAACACACAUUCAUGUACUGUGAUAUGUCAAUCCAGUCUUACUCUUAUUAGAGCCUACACCAUGAGUGUUUUCAAAUCAUAUUAAGAUGUUGUAGGUCUCAACCUCAUAGUCUUACACUUGUUUUCAUAUCGUGACCUGCCAGUCUAGUUAGCAAUAUAAUUGCCUACCAGAGGCUUCAUAGAGGAACAUUUGCUUAGAUUCACUUACCUAGAUGAUCUGUAACACCCCUUACCCGAGACCGUUGUCAGAGUCGAGCACGAGGUAUUACUUAUCUUAUCUUACUAACUCGAAGCAUAAAAACUUGUUUUAAAAAUUAAUUUCACUAUUUAUAGCAAUUUGUCCAAUCGCGCAGCAGUUACUAAAUUAAUUAUAACUCGAGAUACGGAACUUGAAAUUUAACUCCGUAAAUUUUCCCUGAAACUAGACUCAUAUAUCUUCCUACCAUAAAAAUUUUAGGAUUUUUAGUUUAUCAAAUUAGUACAGUUUAUUAGUUAAAUUCUCCCCUGUUUCACAAAUCGACUGCCCUGACCUCUUAUCACUAAAAAUAAAAUGUAUCAUUGUGGGAUUUUCGUAUAGUGCUACCGCUUGCUUCUACAGAAAAUAGACUCAAUAAGGAAUCUAUACAUAUAAACUACAACUCAUAAAUAUUUUUUUAAAAUUUUUAAUGAUUUUAUAAACUCAAAACAGGGGUCACCAAAAACUGUUCUAACCCUGUCUCACCAAAAUUCACAUAUCUUAAAAUAUAAAUUCCUUUUGCUACACCGUUAUUUUUAUGUGAAAAUAGACUCAACAAGAUUUAUGUCAUUCAAUAUUUAAUUCAUUUUAUACUAUCCUAGGUGAUUUUUCAAAGUCACGUCACUGUUGCUGCCUGAAUUCUGUUUCUUUGCAAAAUUUUACCCUUUUAUGAUUUCCAUGCAUAGUUUAUCACUUAGACUCUUAUAACAACAAACACUUCCAUACUUAACCAUUUUAGCAACCAUUCAUCAUCAAAUACUUACACAUCAUUCUUUAGCAAGAUCAUAAAUACAAACAUUUAAAAUAACUAAAUCCCUUUACAUUCCAUACUCAACAUGGUUCAACAUAAAAAUACCGAGUUGCUGUGGUUGAUAGUGUGGACGAUCUCCGACUUCUUUAGGAUCCUUGAAGUAACCUUGCAAUACUAUAAGAGAAAGAGAAAUAAAAGACGUAAGCAUAAAGCUUAGUAAGUUUACUAGCAAAUAAAUAACAAUAUUUAACUAGAUAAUUAAACUCAAGUGUCUAUAUCUCUAGUUUACUAUUUAGUUAAUCUCAUUCUAGUUCUCUUGCUUGUUUACUUAGUAUACUUGUGUGCAUAACUUACUCCUCUCUUGCUGUAUAGUUGAAUAUCAAUUGAUAAUAUAAUAAGUUAUUAACUCUUAUAACUUACCUGAACUUGCCAUUUAUGUUUUUAACUGAACUUUCCUGAACAUGAUUCGUUAUUUAGCCCGUUGAGCUACAUUGGAACAAUAAGGAUACUCGGGUCUCUUCUGAUAAUAACAUGCCAAAGCCAUGUCCCAGACAUGGUCUUACAUGGGAUGUACUCAUGUCGGUGCCCAUUCCAUAUCCCAGACAUGGUCUUACGGGGGACCUCUCAUCUCGGUGCCAAUGCCAUGUCCCAGACAUGGUCUUACAUGGGACCUCUCAUCUCGGUGCCAACGCCAUGUCCCAGACAUGGUCUUACAUGGGACCUCUCAUCUCGGUGCCAACGCCAUGUCCCAGACAUGGUCUUACAUGGGACCUCUUUACCCAAAUGUCAUGACAUUCGUAUCCAGUACCAUCCUUACUAUUCAUGACAACCGAUAUAUAUAUAUACAUACUCACUAUUCACAAGGACUCGAACGAUUAUAUACUCAUCAACCACCUUAAAACAAUGUUCAUAAACUUAUCCAUUUCAUAUAAACAAAAGCAUAUAUAUUUAUAACCAAUGCAUAGAAUCACUUAAUUUAAACAGAUUCACUGGCACUUCACCUGAUAGGCUUAUAGUUUAAUUCAGUUCACCGGCACUUAGCCUACUAGGCUUGUAGCCUGAUUCAGUUCACCGGCACUUAGCCUGCUAGACGUAUAGUCCGAUUCAAUUCACCGGCAUUUAGCCUGCUAGACGUAUAGUCUGAUUCAAUUUACCGGCACUUAGCCUGCUAGACGUAUAGUCUGAAUAAUUUUACUGGUAAUAAAUCCGAUAGUAAUUUCUCCGUUGAAAUUGAAUUAUAUUCAAUUCUGCGUAACAAACAUGCACUUAAAACAUACUUGCAUAAUUCACAACAAUAAUUUCAGUCCAAAGAGCUGUAAUUCAUAUUCGAACUAUAUAUAUAUAAAUCCAUACAUAAAAAUUCAACUCAAAAUUUAUAACCUAUAUCUUUGAACCACAUAGGUACAUGAAAUUCAAACACCAAAAUCCAGCUCAAUAACUUCAUGAUUCAACCUAACAAAUUUAUGUAUAUAACUUUUUAUCUAAUUUCAAUACAAUAACUUAUACAUGUACGUAUAUACAUAUUCGAAUCUAACAUAUACAUAUAUAAUUUCAUACUUAAAUAUAUUCAAGACUUAUUCAUGAGUAUACAUAUAUAUUACAACUCACAUGUACAUAUAUAUACACAUUCAUACCUUUAACCAAGUCCAAGGCUUUAUACAUGUAUAUGCUUAUAUAUAUAUAUUCGGACCUUAUGUUUACAUAUAUAUAUUAUAUAAAUACCUUUGAUUAAAAACAAGUAUUUAUACAUAUAUAUAUUUUCGAACAUGAUACAUAUAUAUUUAUAUCAUUCAUACUUAAACAAAAUUCAAUCCAUAUACUUUCAAUUUCAGCUCACCAAAUUACUAUAGAUAUACAUGCAUAUAUACUGAUUUAAUAACCUCAAAUUGCUAAUAGACUUACCUCGGAUAUCAGCGGACACGAUCGAGUAUUCGAUUACUUUCGUUUUUCCCCGAUCCAAAUUCGUUUUCUUCGUUUUUUAUCUUAAUUAGACCUAGAGAUAGCCGAACCUUGUUGUUCUCUUUUCUUUUCUUUUCUUUUUCUUUUCUAUAUUCGGCCAAGAUGAAGAACAUGGCAUUUAAAAUUUGUUAUAUUAAACAUAUAUUAGCCUUAUUUUUAAUUUACUAUAUUAACCUUUACAUAUAUAUAACAUAUAUAAUAAGGUUACAUUAGUCCUUUGCCACCCACUAACUUACAUAGUGGACUAAUUGCAUAGUAAAACCUCUAAAUUAUAAAGACAACAAGAAUUAGGUCCUUUUAUAAUUAACCCCUAAAUUUUCAUUUUACGCGAUUAAGCCCUUUUAUUAAAUCGGACACUUAAACGACGAAAUUAAAACACGAAAAUUUCACACAAUCAAAUGCAUACAAAACAAUAUUAAUAAUAUUUUUCUAAUUCAAAUUUGUGGUCCCGAAACCAGUAUUCUGAUUAGGGUCAAAAACCGGGUUGUUACAACUCUCCCCCCUUAGGGAUUUUCGUCCCCGAAAAUCUUACCGGUGAAUAGGUUUGGAUAACGCUCUUUCAUUGUAUCUUCUAACUCCCAAGUUGCUUCUUCAACCCCAUGUUUAUGCCACAACACUUUAACUAACGGAAUUUUCUUAUUUCGUAAUUCUUUGAUCUCACGAGCCAGAAUGCUAAUCGGUUCUUCCUCAUAUGUCAUAUCAGAGUUAAUUUCAAUCUCCGUCGGACUAAUCACAUGUGAAGGAUCAGAUCGGUAUCUACGAAGCAUCGAAACAUGGAAUACGUUAUGAAUCUUUUCUAACUCAGGCAGUAACAUCAAUCUAUAAGCAACCAAUCCAACUCGCUCUAUAAUCUCAUACGGUCCAAUGAAUCUCGGACACAAUUUGCCUUUACGACCAAAUCUGAGUAUUUUCUUCCACGGUGAGACUUUUAAAAACACUUUAUCCCCGAUCUGAAAUUCUAUAUCCUUUCUUUUCAAAUUCGCAUAAGAUUUCUGACGAUCCGAUGCUGAUUUCAGACUGUCCCGAAUCACUUUCACUUUCUGUUCGGUCUCUUUAAUCAAAUCAACCCCGUGUAUCUUAUUUUCACUGAGCUCGGUCCAAUACAGUGGUGUACGACAUUUACAACCGUACAAAGCCUCAUAAGGUGCCAUUUUGAUACUAGAUUGAAAGCUAUUAUUAUAAGCAAAUUCAAUCAAAGGUAAGUAUCGUUCCCACGUACCUUCAAACUCGAGAAUGCAACAUCUCAACAUAUCCUCAAGUAUCUGAAUGAUUCAUUCAGAUUGACCAUCUGUCUGCGGAUCGAAAGCUGUGCUAAAAUGUAGUUUCGUACCUAAAGCAUCUUGUAGUUUCUUCCAAAAUCGCGAUGUGAAUCUCAGAUCUCUGUCUGAAACAAUAGAAAUAGGUACACCAUGCAACCUCACAAUUUGUGAAAUAUACAAUUCCGCAAGUUUAUCGAGCGAAAAAUCUGUACGAAUCGAAAUAAAAUGUGUCGAUUUUGUCAACCUAUCAACAAUAACCCAGAUUGCAUCUAUCUUGCUCGGUGUCAACGGUAAAUCGGAUACAAAAUCCAUCGUGACUCGAUCCCAUUUCCAUUGAGGUAUCAUGAUCGGCUGAAGCAACCCAGAUGGUACCUGAUGCUUGGCUUUAACUUGCUGACAAAUUAAACAUUUCGAAACAAAGUCAGAAAUGUCUCGUUUCAUACCUUGCCACCAAUAGUGCUGUUUCAGAUCGUUAUACAUUUUCGUGCUACCCGGAUGAACAGAAAAUCGACUACUAUGAGCUUCCUUCAAAAUCAUCUAAAUUAACUCUGAUUUUUUCGGAACACAUAAUCGGUUUCUAAAUCUCAAACAAUCCUCAGCAUCAACUAAAAACUCCGAAUCAAUAUUUAAGUCACAUUGAGCUCGUUUUGCAGUUAAAUCAUUAUCGACCUUUUGAGCUUCACAAAUCUGUUGUACAAAUAACGGUUUUGCUUUCAACUCAGCUACUAUCGCACCAUCAUCAGACAUAACCAUAUGUGCGUUCAUUGCACGCAAAGCAAACAGUGAUUUUCGACUUAGGGCAUCAGCAACAACAUUAGCCUUUCCCGGAUGAUAGUCAAUCACAAGCUCGUAUUCUUUCAGCAAUUCUAACCAUCGACGCUGUCUCAAAUUCAGAUAUUUCUGAGUCAUCAAAUAUUUCAGGCUUUUGGGAUCGGAAUAAACAUGACAUCUUUCACCAAACAGAUAGUGACGCCAUAUUUUUAACGCAAAUACAAUAGCGGCCAAUUCCAGAUCAUGUGUCGGAUAGUUUUUUUCAUGCGGCUUUAACUGUCUCAAGGCAUAGGCUACAACUUUGCCUUCCUACAUCAAAACACAACCCAAACCAUUUAAAGAUGCAUCACUAUAGAUAACAAACUCUUUACCCGAUUCGGGUUGAACUAAGACUGGAGCUUCGGUCAAAAGAACUUUCAACUGAUCAAAGUUUUUCUGACACUUUUCUGACCACUCGAACUUAACGUCUUUUUGUAGUAGCUUUGUCAUCGGGGUCGCAAUCAUAGAAAACCCUUUCACGAACCGUCUAUAAUAACCAGCGAGCCCCAGAAAGCUUCGAACAUCAGAGACAUUUCUCGGAGGUUUCCAAUCAAGUAUAGCUGAAAUUUUACCUGGAUCAACUCGAAUACCCGAUGCUGACACAACAUGGCCCAGAAAACUAACUUCACGUAACCAGAACUCGCAUUUACUGAACUUUGCAUACAACUGUUUAUCUCGCAAAGUUUGUAACACAAGUCUCAGAUGUUCAGUAUGCUCGGUUUCAUCACGAGAGUAGAUCAAAAUAUCAUCUAUAAAUACUACCACAAAUCGAUCCAGAUACUGUCUAAAAAUCUGAUUCAUCAAAUCCAUGAAAACAGCAGGUGCAUUAGUAAGUCCAAAAGGCAUAACCAAGAACUCAUAAUGUCCGUACCUCGUUCGGAAAGCUGUCUUUGGCACAUCAGAGUCUUUAACUCGCAACUGAUAGUAGCCUGAUCUCAGAUCUAUCUUCGAAAACACAGUAGCCCCUUUCAACUGAUCGAACAAAUCAUCAAUCCGUGGUAACGGAUACUUAUUCUUUAUAGUCACCUUAUUGAGUUGCCGGUAAUCAAUGCACAUUCUCAUUGUUCUGUCUUUCUUUUUCACAAAUAGAACUGGUGCACCCCAAGGAGAGAAACUCGGUCGUGUAAAACCUUUAUCAGUCAACUCUUGCAACUGUACUUUCAAUUCUUUUAAUUCGGUCGGUACCAUACGGUACGGAGCUAUCGAAAUUGGAGUUGUCCCUGGUACUAACUCAAUACCAAACUCUACCUCUCGAAUAGGUGGCAAACCCGGUAAUUCUUCGGGAAACACGUCUGAAUACUUACACACUACUGGCACAGAUUCAAUCUUCUUUUCGGUCACUUUACUAUCAAGAAAAAAUGCAAGGUAAUCUUCACAACCUUUUCUCACAUACUUCUGAGCCGACAUCGAGGAUAUUAUUGCUGGUAAACCAUUCAGAUCAUUAGAUUCAAUCCGAAUAAUCUCAUCAUUCUGACACCGUAGAUCAAUAGUUUUCCGUUUGCAGUUUACUAUAGCAUUAUGCAGAGUUAACCAAUCCAUACCCAGAAUUAUAUCAAACUCGUCAAAUGGUAGCAACAUCAAAUCAGCCAGAAAACAUAAAUCUCGAAUCAUCAACGGACAAUUCUUGCACACUUUGUCAACCAAAACACACCGGCCCAAGAGGUUCAAUACUUUAAUUACAAACUCAGUAGACUCAACAGGCAAAGUCUUACUGAAUACUAAAGUCUCACACACAUAAGAAUGAGUCGAACCAAGAUCAAUCAAUGCAAUAACAUUAGUAUCAUAAAGAGUGAAAGUACCAGUAAUAACAUCUGGAGAAGAAGCCUCCUCCCGAGCACGGAUGGCAUAUGCUCUGGCAAGUGCACGAGCCUCAGAUCGAACUGCCAUGUCCUUUGUUCCUCUCUGACUGCCACUUACAUUACUCAAUUGCCUCGGCGGUCUACCUCGUACAGGUACUUUACUCGGUCUGGUAUUCUACACAGUGUUUUGCUCAGCUACCAUCGGACACUCUCGAAUGAAAUGAUCCUUUGAACCGCACUUAAAGCAAGACCGAUCAUGUAAUCUGCAAUCUCCAGGAUGCCAUUUCCCACAAUGCUUGUACUCUGAUCUAUUUUGUCGAACACUACCAACGCUAGCAACUGAAGUAGCUCGUGAACUCACAGGGGGUCGAUCUCGAUCAUACUUAGGAAACCCUGCAGUAGCUUUAGAUCGGCUAUGAUCCUCUCUGGAUUUCAUUGAGGUCGACUGGAAUGAUUUACUGAAUGAUCUUUUACGAGAAUCUCGAGCUUCAUAGCCAGCUUUCCUCUUCUCUUUACUGAGCUCCUUAACUUUACAAGGUCGUUCAACAAGUACUACGAACUCUUUUAUCUCAAGUAUACCAAAUAACAGUUUAAUAUCUUCAUCCAGCCCAUCUUCAAAUCUUUUACACAUGAUAGCUUCAGUCGAAAUACAUUCUCGAGCAUAUCUACUGAGUCUCACAAAUUUCCGCUCAUAUUCUAUCACUGUCAUACGACCCUGUUUCAAUUCAAGAAAUUCCUUAUGCUUCUGAUCAAUGAAUCUUUGGCUGAUGUAUUUCUUACAGAACUCAAUCUGAAAGAAUUCCCAGGUCACUCGCUCUUUCGGAACCACCGAUACUAGUGUAUUCCACCAGUGAUAUGCAGUGUCCCGUAGCAAAGAUAUGGCACAUUUCAAGUACUCAUCAGGGGUGCAAGAUAACUCAUCAAACACUCGAAUAGUAUUAUCAAGCCAGAAUUCAGCUUGCUCAGCAUCAUCAUCAUCAGUAGCUCUGAACUCUUCGACCCCGUGUUUUCAAAUUUAGUCAACAGGAGGCUUAAGUAAUCUCAUCGGAUCACUUACUUGAGGUAUAAUAGGAAUCGAAGGUGGAUUAGUCGGGGGUGGAGUUUGUUGUGCAACCGGAUUAGUUCGGACAUAUUGAGUAAACCAGUCAUUCAUCAUUUGGUAGAAGGCUUGUUUAGCCUCUCCCUCCUGGUUACUCGAGGUCGGUCGAGAAUCUACCAGCUCUGUCCCUUGUGUGGGAGCAGGCGCUAUACUCUCAACAUCAUCGACUACGGCUGGAUCGGGAUCCAUUACUAUACGAAAACACAUUUUUAGACAUCAGCAGUCAUCGCACUAUCUUGGUAUAAAAAUAUGGCAUGUAUAGCUAGACUCAUACAUGCUACAUUAGUCCAAGAAUCGAUUAAACCGUAGCUCUGAUACCAAUAAAAUGUAACACCCCUAACCCGUAUCCGUCGCCGAAUUAGGGUUACGAGGCAUUACUGAACAAAUACAACCAUUUUUAAAACCAACUGAUCACAAACAUGAAAAUUAAAUCAUUUUCACAUAGCUAUUUAUAAUUUACAAUCAACAUCUAACCAACAUCGUACUCAAACCUAUACAUGCCAUAAGAUCAAGUUCAAAUAUUUAACAAAAUACCAAAAGGGGUCGAAAGUGUGAUAGACUAUGCUGAUGAUCCCCGAGCUCGUAACGCAUCUCCAAAAUCUAUAAAAACAAAUGGACAAAAACAAUCAAAGUAAGCUUUUAUAGCUUAGUAAGUCUAUAGCAUAUCUAAAAUACAUAUAAAAGAAUCAUAUAAUUCUUAAAAUAAAUUUAUUGAAAUCACAAUUAUCAAUUAUAAUUACUAAUCGAACAUUGCUAUAUUAAGUCAUCUUGUUUAAAUCUAAAAGGAUGUGUAUUUAUCUAAUACACAUGAACGGACAAAUGUAUAUACAUUAUAUGCAUAUAAUCAAUUUACUAACAUAAUCAUUAAUUGCAUAUACGGAUUUCUAUAGUACUUAUUGUUCGCACUUAAUCGGAUCCAUUUAAAUAUAAUUGUUCAAAUACAUAUACCAAAAGCAUAAUAAUUUUAUACUUGAUCAACUAUAAGUGCCGAAUGCACAUAUACACCUAUACCCACCUAUGCCGAAUGCAUACAUAUAUACACAUAUAUAUAUAUCCAACAAUUUCGUGACAACCGAUAUAUAUAUACAUACUCACUAUUCACAAGGACUCGAACGAUUAUAUACUCAUCAACCACCUUAAAACAAUGUUCAUAAACUUAUCCAUUUCAUAUAAACAAAAGCAUAUAUAUUUAUACCCAAUGCAUAGAAUCACUUAAUUUAAACAGAUUCACUAGCACUUCACCUGAUAGGCUUAUAGUUUAAUUCAGUUCACCGGUACUUAGCCUACUAGGCUUGUAGCCUGAUUCAGUUCACCGGCACUUAGCCUGCUAGACGUAUAGUCCGAUUCAAUUCACCGGCAUUUAGCCUGCUAGACGUAUAGUCCGAUUCAAUUUAUCGGCACUUAGCCUGCUAGAUGUAUAGUCUGAAUAAUUUUACUGGUAAUAAAUCCGAUAGUCAUUUCUCCGUUGAAAUUGAAUUAUAUUCAAUUCUGCGUAACAAACAUGCACUUAAAACAUACUUGCAUAAUUCACAACAAUAAUUUCAGUCCAAAGAGCUGUAAUUCAUAUUCGAACUAUAUAUAUAAAUCCAUACAUAAAAAUUCAGCUCAAAAUUUAUAACCUAUAUCUUUGAACCACAUAGGUACAUGAAAUUCAAACAACAAAAUCCAGCUCAAUAACUUCAUGAUUCAACCUAACAAAUUUAUGUAUAUAACUUUUUAUCUAAUUUCAAUACAAUAACUUAUACAUGUACGUAUAUACAUAUUCGAAUCUAACAUAUACAUAUAUAAUUUCAUACUUAAAUAUAUUCAAGACUUAUUCAUGAGUAUACAUAUAUAUUACAACUCACAUGUACAUAUAUAUACACAUUCAUACCUUUAACCAAGUCCAAGGCUUUAUACAUGUAUAUGCUUAUAUAUAUAUAUAUUCGGACCUUAUGUUUACAUAUAUAUUAUAUAUAAAUACCUUUGAUUAAAAACAAGUAUUUAUACAUAUAUAUAUUUUUGAACAUGAUACAUAUAUAUAUUUAUAUCAUUCAUACUUAAACAAAAUUCAAUCCAUAUACUUUCAAUUUCAGCUCACCAAAUUACUAUAGAUAUACAUGCAUAUAUACUGAUUUAAUAACCUCAAAUUGCUAAUAGACUUACCUCGGAUAUCAGCGGACACGAUCGACUAUUCGAUUACUUUCGUUUUUCCCCGAUCCAAAUUCGUUUUCUUCGUUUUUUUAUCUUAAUUAGACCUAGAGAUAGCCGAACCUUGUUGUUCUCUUUUCUUUUCUUUUCUUUUUCUUUUCUAUAUUCGGCCAAGAUGAAGAACAUGGCAUUUAAAAUUUGUUAUAUUAAACAUAUAUUAGCCUUAUUUUUAAUUUACUAUAUUAACCUUUACAUAUAUAUAUAACAUAUAUAAUAAGGUUACAUUAGUCCUUUGCCACCCACUAACUUACAUAGUGGACUAAUUGCAUAGUAAAACCUCUAAAUUAUAAAGACAACAACAAUUAGGUGCUUUUAUAAUUAACCCCUAAAUUUUCAUUUUACGCGAUUAAGCCCUUUUAUUAAAUCGGACACUUAAACGACGAAAUUAAAACACGAAAAUUUCACACAAUCAAAUGCAUACAAAAUAAUAUUAAUAAUAUUUUUCUAAUUCAAAUUUGUGGUCCCGAAACCAGUAUUCUGAUUAGGGUCAAAAACCGGGUUGUUACAACUCUCCCCCCUUAGAGAUUUUCGUCCCCGAAAAUCUUACCGGUGAAUAGGUUUGGAUAACGCUCUUUCAUUGUAUCUUCUGACUCCCAAGUUGCUUCUUCAACCCCAUGUUUAUGCCACAACACUUUAACUAACGGAAUUUUCUUAUUUCGUAAUUCUUUGAUCUCACGAGCAAGAAUGCUAAUCGGUUCUUCCUCAUAUGUCAUAUCAGAGUUAAUUUCAAUCUCCGUCGGACUAAUCACAUGUGAAGGAUCAGAUCGGUAUCUACGGAGCAUCGAAACAUGGAAUACGUUAUGAAUCUUUUCUAACUCAGGCAGUAACAUCAAUCUAUAAGCAACCAAUCCAACUCGCUCUAUAAUCUCAUACGGUCCAAUUAAUCUCGGACACAAUUUGCCUUUACGACCAAAUCUGAGUAUUUUCUUCCACGGUGAGACUUUUAACUUGCUCGGUGUCAACGGUAAAUCGGAUACAAAAUCCAUCGUGACUCGAUCCCAUUUCCAUUGAGGUAUCAUGAUCGGCUGAAGCAAUCCAGAUGGUACCUGAUGCUCGGCUUUAACUUGCUGACAAAUUAAACAUUUCGAAACAAAGUCAGAAAUGUCUCGUUUCAUACCUUGCCACCAAUAGUGCUGUUUUAGAUCGUUAUACAUUUUCGUGCUACCCGGAUGAACAGAAAAUCGAAUACUAUGAGCUUCCUUCAAAAUCAUCUGAAUUAACUCUGAAUUUUUCGGAACACAUAAUCGGUUUCUAAAUCUCAAACAAUCCUCAGCAUCAACUAAAAACUCCGAAUCAAUAUUUAAGUCACAUUGAGCUCGUUUUGCAGUUAAAUCAUUAUCAACCUUUUGAGCUUCACAAAUCUGUUGUACAAAUAACAGUUUUGCUUUCAACUCAGCUACUAUCGCACCAUCAUCAGACAUAACCAUAUGUGCGUUCAUUGCACGCAAAGCAAACAGUGAUUUUCGACUUAGGGCAUCAGCAACAACAUUAGCCUUUCCCGGAUGAUAGUCAAUCACAAGCUCGUAAUCUUUCAGCAAUUCUAACCAUCGACGCUGUCUCAAAUUCAGAUAUUUCUGAGUCAUCAAAUAUUUCAGGCUUUUGGGAUCGGAAUAAACAUGACAUCUUUCGCCAAACAGAUAGUGACGCCAUAUUUUUAACGCAAAUACAAUAGCGGCCAAUUCCAGAUCAUGCGUCGGAUAGUUUUUUUCAUGCGGCUUUAACUGUCUCAAGGCAUAGGCUACAACUUUGCCUUCCUACAUCAAAACACAACCCAAACCAUUUAAAGAUGCAUCACUAUAGAUAACAAACUCUUUACCCGAUUCGGGUUGAACUAGGACUGGAGCUUCGGUCAAAAGAACUUUCAACUGAUCAAAGUUUUUCUGACACUUUUCUGACCACUCGAACUUAACGUCUUUUUGUAGUAGCUUUGUCAUCGGGGUCGCAAUCAUAGAAAACCCUUUCACGAACCGUCUAUAAUAACCAGCGAGCCCCAGAAAGCUUCGAACAUCAGAGACAUUUCUCGGAGGUUUCCAAUCAAGUAUAGCUGAAAUUUUACUUGGAUCAACCUGAAUACCCGAUGCUGACACAACAUGGCCCAGAAAACUAACUUCACGUAACCAGAACUCGAAUUUACUGAACUUUGCAUACAACUGUUUAUCUCGCAAAGUUUGUAACACAAGUCUCAGAUGUUCAGUAUGCUCGGUUUCAUCACGAGAGUAGAUCAAAAUAUCAUCUAUAAAUACUACCACAAACAGAUCCAGAUACUGUCUAAAAAUCUGAUUCAUCAAAUCCAUGAAAACAGCAGGUGCAUUAGUAAGUCCAAAAGGCAUAACCAAGAACUCAUAAUGUCCGUACCUCGUUCGGAAAGCAGUCUUUGGCACAUCAGAGUCUUUAACUCGCAACUGAUAGUAGCCUGAUCUCAGAUCUAUCUUCGAAAACACAGUAGCCCCUUUCAACUGAUCGAACAAAUCAUCAAUCCGUGGUAACGGAUACUUAUUCUUUAUAGUCACCUUAUUGAGUUGCCGGUAAUCAAUGCACAUUCUCAUUGUUCCGUCUUUCUUUUUCACAAAUAGAACUGGUGCACCCCAAGGAGAGAAACUCGGUCGUGCAAAACCUUUAUCAGUCAACUCUUGCAACUGUACUUUCAAUUCUUUUAAUUCAGUCGGUGCCAUACGGUACGGAGCUAUCGAAAUUGGAGUUGUCCCUGGUACUAACUCAAUACCAAACUCUACCUCUCGAAUAGGUGGCAAACCCGGUAAUUCUUCGGGAAACACGUCUGAAUACUUACACACUACUGGCACAGAUUCAAUCUUCUUUUCGAUCACUUUACUAUCAAGAAAAAAUGCAAGGUAAUCUUCACAACCUUUUCUCACAUACUUUUUUGCCGACAUCGAGGAUAUUAUUGCUGGUAAACCAUUCAGAUCAUUAGAUUCAAUCCGAAUAAUCUCAUCAUUCUGACACCGUAGAUCAAUAGUUUUCCGUUUGCAGUUUACUAUAGCAUCAUGCAGAGUUAACCAAUCCAUACCCAGAAUUAUAUCAAACUCGUCAAAUGGUAGCAACAUCAAAUCAGCCAGAAAACAUAAAUCUCGAAUCAUCAACGGACAAUUCUUGCAUAUUUUGUCAACCAAAACACACCGGCCCAGGGGGUUCAAUACUUUAAUUACAAACUCAGUAGACUCAACAGGCAAAGUCUUACUGAAUACUAAAGUCUCACACACAUAAGAAUGAGUCGAACCAAGAUCAAUCAAUGCAAUAACAUUAGUAUCAUAAAGAGGGAAAGUACCAGUAAUAACAUCUGGAGAAGAAGCCUCCUCUUGAGCACGGAUGGCAUAUGCUCUGGCAAGUGCACGAGCCUCAGAUCGAACUGCCAUGUCCUUUGUUCCUCUCUGACUGCCACUUACAUUACUCAAUUGCCUCGGUGGUCUACCUCGUACUGGCACUUUACUCGGUCUGGUAUUCUGCACAGUGUUUUGCUCAGCUACCAUCGGACACUCUCGAAUGAAAUGAUCCUUUGAACCGCACUUAAAGCAAGACCGAUCAUGUAAUCUGCAAUCUCCAGGAUGCCAUUUCCCACAAUACUUGUACUCUGAUCUAUUUUGUCGAACACUACCAACGCUAGCAACUGAAGUAGCUCGUGAACUCACAGGGGGUCGAUCUCGAUCAUACUUAGGAAACCCUGCAGUAGCUUUAGAUCGGCUAUGAUCCUCUCUGGAUUUCAUUGAGGUCGACUGGAAUGAUUUACUGAAUAAUCUUUUACGAGAAUCUCGAGCUUCAUAGCCAGCUUUCCUCUUCUCUUUCCCGAGCUCCUCAACUUUACAAGGUCGUUCAACAAGUACUACGAACUCUUUUAUCUCAAGUAUACCAAAUAACAGUUUAAUAUCUUCAUCCAGCCCAUCUUCAAAUCUUUUACACAUGAUAGCUUCAGUCGAAAUACAUUCUCGAGCAUAUCUACUGAGUCUCACAAAUUUCCGCUCAUAUUCUAUCACUGUCAUACGACCCUGUUUCAAUUUAAGAAAUUACUUACGCUUCUGAUCAAUGAAUCUUUGGCUGAUGUAUUUCUUACAGAACUCAAUCUGAAAGAAUUCCCAGGUCACUCGCUCUUUCGGAACCACCGAUACUAGUGUAUUCCACCAGUGAUAUGCAGUGUCCCGUGGCAAAGAUAUGGCACAUUUCAAGUACUCAUCAGGGGUGCAAGAUAACUCAUCAAACACUCGAAUAGUAUUAUCAAGCCAGAAUUCAUCUCGCUCAGCAUCAUCAUCAUCAGUAGCUCUGAACUCUUCGACCCCGUGUUUUUGAAUUUUGUCAAUAGGAGGCUUAAGUAAUCUCAUCGGAUCACUUACUUGAGGUAUAACAGGAAUCGAAGGUGGAUUAGUCGGGGGUGGAGUUUGUUGUGCAACCGGAUUAGUUCGGACAUAUUGAGUAAACCAGUCAUUCAUCAUUUGGUAGAAGGCUUGUUUAGCCUCUCCCUCCUGGUUACUCGAGGUCGGUCGAGAAUCUACCGGCUCUGUCCCUUGUGUGGGAGCAGGCGCUAUACCCUCAACAUCAUCGACUACGGCUCGAUCGGGAUCCAUUACUAUACGAAAACACAUUUUUAGACAUCAGCAGUCAUCACACUAUCUUGGUAUAAAAAUAUGGCAUGUAUAGCUAGACUCAUACAUGCUACAUUAGUCCAAGAAUCGAUUAAACCGUAGCUCUGAUACCAAUAAAAUGUAACACCCCUAACCCGUAUCCGUCGCCGAAUUAGGGUUACGAGGCAUUACUGAACAAAUACAACCAUUUUUAAAACCAACUGAUCACAAACAUGAAAAUUAAAUCAUUUUCACAUAGCUAUUUAUAAUUUACAAUCAACAUCUAACCAACAUCGUACUCAAACCUAUACAUGCCAUAAGAUCAAGUUCAAAUAUUUAACAAAAUACCAAAAGGGGUCAAAAGUGUGAUAGACUAUGCUGAUGAUCCCCGAGCUCGUAACGCGUCUCCAAAAUCUAUAAAAACAAAUGGACAAAAACAAUCAAAGUAAGCUUUUAUAGCUUAGUAAGUCUAUAGCAUAUCUAAAAUACAUAUAAAAGAAUCAUAUAAUUCUUAAAAUAAAUUUAUUGAAAUCACAAUUAUCAAUUAUAAUUACUAAUCGAACAUUGCUAUAUUAAGUCAUCUUGUUUAAAUCUAAAAGGAUGUGUAUUUAUCUAAUACACAUGAACGGACAAAUGUAUAUACAUUAUAUGCAUAUAAUCAAUUUACUAACAUAAUCAUUAAUUGCAUAUACGGAUUUCUAUAGUACUUAUUGUUCGCACUUCAUCGGAUCCAUUUAAAUAUAAUUGUUCAAAUACAUAUACCAAAAGCAUAAUAAUUUUAUACUUGAUCAACUAUAAGUGCCGAAUGCACAUAUACACCUAUACCCACCUAUGCCGAAUGCAUACAUAUAUACACAUAUAUAUAUAUCCAACAAUUUCAUGACAACCGAUAUAUAUAUACAUACUCACUAUUCACAAGGACUCGAACGAUUAUAUACUCAUCAACCACCUUAAAACAAUGUUCAUAAACUUAUCCAUUUCAUAUAAACAAAAGCAUAUAUAUUUAUACCCAAUGCAUAGAAUCACUUAAUUUAAACAGAUUCACUGGCACUUCACCUGAUAGGCUUAUAGUUUAAUUCAGUUCACCGGCACUUAGCCUACUAGGCUUGUAGCCUGAUUCAGUUCACCGGCACUUAGCCUGCUAGACGUAUAGUCCGAUUCAAUUCACCGGCAUUUAGCCUGCUAGACGUAUAGUCCGAUUCAAUUUACCGGCACUUAGCCUGCUAGAUGUAUAGUCUGAAUAAUUUUACUGGUAAUAAAUCCGAUAGUCAUUUCUCCGUUGAAAUUGAAUUAUAUUCAAUUCUGCGUAACAAACAUGCACUUAAAACAUACUUGCAUAAUUCACAACAAUAAUUUCAGUCCAAAGAGCUGUAAUUCAUAUUCGAACUAUAUAUAUAUAAAUCCAUACAUAAAAAUUCAGCUCAAAAUUUAUAACCUAUAUCUUUGAACCACAUAGGUACAUGAAAUUCAAACAACAAAAUCCAGCUCAAUAACUUCAUGAUUCAACCUAACAAAUUUAUGUAUAUAACUUUUUAUCUAAUUUCAAUACAAUAACUUAUACAUGUACGUAUAUACAUAUUUGAAUCUAACAUAUACAUAUAUAAUUUCAUACUUAAAUAUAUUCAAGACUUAUUCAUGAGUAUACAUAUAUAUUACAACUCACAUGUACAUAUAUAUACACAUUCAUACCUUUAACCAAGUCCAAGGCUUUAUACAUGUAUAUGCUUAUAUAUAUAUAUAUUCGGACCUUAUGUUUACAUAUAUAUUAUAUAUAAAUACCUUUGAUUAAAAACAAGUAUUUAUACAUAUAUAUAUUUUCGAACAUGAUACAUACAUAUAUUUAUAUCAUUCAUACUUAAACAAAAUUCAAUCCAUAUACUUUCAAUUUCAGCUCACCAAAUUACUAUAGAUAUACAUGCAUAUAUACUGAUUUAAUAACCUCAAAUUGCUAAUAGACUUACCUCGGAUAUCAGCGGACACGAUCGACUAUUCGAUUACUUUCGUUUUUCCCCGAUCCAAAUUCGUUUUCUUCGUUUUUUUAUCUUAAUUAGACCUAGAGAUAGCCGAACCUUGUUGUUCUCUUUUCUUUUCUUUUCUUUUUCUUUUCUAUAUUCGGCCAAGAUGAAGAACAUGGCAUUUAAAAUUUGUUAUAUUAAACAUAUAUUAGCCUUAUUUUUAAUUUACUAUAUUAACCUUUACAUAUAUAUAACAUAUAUAAUAAGGUUACAUUAGUCCUUUGCCACCCACUAACUUACAUAGUGGACUAAUUGCAUAGUAAAACCUCUAAAUUAUAAAGACAACAACAAUUAGGUGCUUUUAUAAUUAACCCCUAAAUUUUCAUUUUACGCGAUUAAGCCCUUUUAUUAAAUCGGACACUUAAACAACGAAAUUAAAACACGAAAAUUUCACACAAUCAAAUGCAUACAAAAUAAUAUUAAUAAUAUUUUUCUAAUUCAAAUUUGUGGUCCCGAAACCAGUAUUCUGAUUAGGGUCAAAAACUGGGUUGUUACAACUCUCCCCCCUUAGGGAUUUUCGUCCCCGAAAAUCUUACCGGUGAAUAGGUUUGGAUAACGCUCUUUCAUUGUAUCUUCUGACUCCCAAGUUGCUUCUUCAACCCCAUGUUUAUGCCACAACACUUUAACUAACGGAAUUUUCUUAUUUCGUAAUUCUUUGAUCUCACGAGCCAGAAUGCUAAUCGGUUCUUCCUCAUAUGUCAUAUCAGAGUUAAUUUCAAUCUCCGUCGGACUAAUCACAUGUGAAGGAUCAGAUCGGUAUCCACAGAGCAUUGAAACAUGGAAUACGUUAUGAAUCUUUUCUAACUCAGGCAGUAACAUCAAUCUAUAACCAACCGAUCCAACUCGCUCUAUAAUCUCAUACGGUCCAAUGAAUCUCGGACUCAAUUUGCCUUUACGACCAAAUCUGAGUAUUUUCUUCCACGGUGAGACUUUUAAAAACACUUUAUCCCCGAUCUGAAAUUCUAUAUCCUUUCUUUUCAAAUCCGCAUAAGAUUUCUGACGAUCCGGUGCUGAUUUCAGACUGUCCCGAAUCACUUUCACUUUCUGUUCGGUCUCUUUAAUCAAAUCAACCCCGUGUAUCUUAUUUUCACUGAGCUCAGUCCAAUACAGUGGUGUACGACAUUUACGACCGUACAAAGCCUCAUAAGGUGCCAUUUUGAUACUAGAUUGAAAGCUAUUAUUAUAAGCAAAUUCAAUCAAAGGUAAGUAUCGUUCCCACGUACCUUCAAACUCGAGAAUGCAACAUCUCAACAUAUCCUCAAGUAUCUGAAUGAUUCGUUCAGAUUGACCAUCUGUCUGCGGAUGGAAAGCUGUGCUAAAAUGUAGUUUCGUACCUAAAGCUGUGCUAAAAUGCACACAAAAUAAACACACAAAAUAAUAUUAAUAAUAUUUUUCUAAUUCGGAUUUGUGGUCCCGAAACCACUAUUCCGAUUAGGGUCAAAAACCGGGUUGUUACAAUUCUGCUUCUUCUGCAUCAUCAUCUUUGGUAGCUCGAAAUUCUUCAGCCCCUUACUUCCUAAUCUUAUCAACAGGUGGUCUCUCACUGAUGACUAUACCUGCAGCUAGGGAAACUACAUGAGGAACCUGUGAAUCCUGAAGGGGUGGAGGUCUUACACCCGGAUUCAUACGAACGAACUCGGCAAACCAAUCAUUCAUGGCUUGGAAGAAGGCUUCUCUAGCUCCUCCUCCCUGUCUAACUGAUGCAGGUCUUUCACUAACGUUAACAUCUAGUGGCACCGUCCUUUCUGCGGAAGUAGGCGCAUUACUCUCUACUUCAUCUGCACCAGCUCGUUCAGGAUCCGUAACUAUAAAAUAAAAUAUUUUAAAAUCGUCAAGAGUCGUCACACUAUCAAAAUAUAUAAGUAUGGCAUGUAUAGGUAGACUUUUAUUCAUACUGCAUAUUUCUGAGAACCGAUUAAACCUGCUCUGAUACCAACAAAUGUAACACCCCUUACCCAAGACCAUUUUCGGAGUCGAGCACGAGGCAUUACUUAUCUUAUCUUACUAACUCGAAGCAUAAAAACUUAUUUUAAAAAUUAAUUUCACUAUUUACAGCAAUCUGUCCAAUCGAGCAGCAGUUACUAAAUUAAUAAUAACUCGAGCUACGGAACUUGAAAUUUAACUUCGUAAAUUUUCACUGAAACUAGACUCAUAUAUCUUCCUACCAUAAAGUUUUUAGGAUUUUUUGUUUAGCCAACUAGUACAGUUUAUUAGUCAAAUUCUCCCCUGUUUCACCAAUCGAUUGCCUUGACCUCUUAUCACUAAAAAUAAAAUUUCUCAAUGUGGGAUUUUCGUAUAGUGCUACUGCUUGCUUCUACAAAAAAUAGACUCAAUAAGGAAUCUAUAAAUAUAAACUACAGCUCCUAAAUAUUUUUUUAAAAAUUUUAAUGAUUUUCUAAACUCAAAAUAGGGGUCACCAAAAACUGUUCUAACCCUGUCUCACCAAAAUUCACAUAUCUUAAAAUAUAAAAUUCAUUUUGCUACACCGUUAUUUUUAUCUGAAAAUAGACUCAACAAGAUUUAAAUUCAUAUAUCAUUCACUCUUUAAUUCAUUUUAUACUAUCCUAGGUGAUAUUUCAAAGUCACGUCGUUGUUGCUGCCUGAAUUCUGUUUCUUUGCAAAAUUGUACCAUUUUAUGAUUUCCAUGCAUAGUUUAUCACUUACACUCUUAUAACAACAAACACUUCCAUACUUCACCAUUUUAGCAACCAUUCAUCAUCAACUACUUACAUAUCAUUCUUUAUCAAGAUCAUAAAUACAAACAUUUAAAAUAACUAAAUCCCUAUACAUUCCAUACUCAACAUGGUUCAACAUAAAAAUACCGAGUUGCUGUGGCUGAUAGUGUGGACGAUCUCCGACUUCUUUAGGAUCCUUGAAGUAACCUUGCAAUACUAUAAGAGAAAGAGAAAUAAAAGACGUAAGCAUAAAGCUUAGUAAGUUUACUAGCAAAUAAAUAACAAUAUUUAACUCAGAUAAUUAAACUCAAGUGUCUAUAUCUCUAGUUUACUCUUUAGUUAAUCCCAUUCUAGUUCUCUUGCUUGUUUACUUAGUAUACUUGUGUGCAUAACUUAAUCUUCUCUUGCUGUAUCGUUGAAUAUCAAUUGAUAAUAUAAUAAGUUCUUAACUCUUAUAACUUACCUGAACUUGCCAUUUAUGUUUUUAACUGAACUUUCCUGAACAUGAUUCGUUAUUUAGCCCGUUGAGCUACAUUGGAACAAUAAGGAUACUCGGGUCUCUUCUGAUAAUAACAUGCCAAAGCCAUGUCCCAGACAUGGUCUUACAUGGGAUGUACUCAUGUCGGUGCCCAUUCCAUGUCCCAGACAUGGUCUUACGGGGGACCUCUCAUCUCGGUGCCAAUGUCAUGUCUCAGACAUGGUCUUACAUGGGACCUCUCAUCUCGGUGCCAACACCAUGUCCCAGACAUUGUCUUACAUGGGACCUCUCAUUUCGGUGCCAACGCCAUGUCCCAGACAUGGUCUUACAUGGGACCUCUUUAUCCAAAUGUCAUGACAUUCGUAUCCAGUAUUAUCCUUAUGUAUCAACGGGACUUUUUAAUUUUAAUUCUCUAUCAUUUCAUGCUUGGAUAAUCAUCAAAUAAAUUCAUGAAAUAAAUUCAUAGUUGCUGGAAAAUAGCAGCAUUAAUAAAAAUUAUUGAAAUAUUUCAUUUAUUUACCGUAAACUUACCUUGGUACCGAAUAUAGCCCAAUUCACCAACUUAGUCUUCAACUUUAUUCUUUCCUUUGUCUAACCUCGAGUUUCAUUCUUCUUGAUCUAAAAUAGAAAAUUUAACUUAUUUAAUACUCACAUUCAUCAAAACAGCCCUCGACUCUAACUUUUCAAAAUUAUGAUUUUGCCCCUAAACUUUUACAUAAUUACAUUUUUCCCCAAGGCUCGAAAAUUCAACUUCAUCUCAUAUUCUUAUGUUUUAUGGCAUGCUGAAUAUUUUUCUCUUCUAUGACAAUAUCAAAUUCUCACUCUAACACUUACUUAUGUACAUUAGAGAUUUUUACCGAUUAUGUCAACUUACUCGUUUUUGCUUAAAAUCGGCUAACAAAAGUUGUUUAACAUAAUUUAUAGCUUCAUAUUCUAUCAUAAAACAUCAAAAUAAACACUUUUCACCUAUGGGUAUUUUUCCAAAUAUAAACCCUAGGUUAAAUUAUUGCUAGAAUAAGCUAAAUUAAGUUACCGGGACUCCAAAAACGUAAGGAACAUUAAAAACGGGGCUUGGGAUCACUUACUAUGGAGCUUGGAAGCUUGAAAACCCUAAAUAUGGCUUACCCCCUUGCUGAUUUCGUCCAAAUGAAGAAGAUGAGCAUAAUUUGUCAUCUUUUUCCCUUUUAAUUCAUUUUAAUUACUAGAUUACCAAAUUGCCCCUAACUUAAAAAUUUCCUAUUUCACUUAUCUCAUGUCCAUUUUUGUCUAAAAACUUAACCAAUGGUCUAAUUACCAUAUAAAGACCUCCAAUUUAAAGUUUCAUAACAAUUGGACACCUCUAACAUGUAGAACUCAACUUUUGCACUUUUUGCAAUUUAGUACUUUUGACUAAAUUGAGUGCCCAAACUUCAAAAUUUUCGAAUAAAAUUUUCAUGAAAUCAUUUUGUGAAAUCAUAGACCAUAAAAAUAUAAGAAAAAUAAAAUUUUCCUCAUCGGAUUUGUGAUCCCGAAACCACUGUUCCGAUAAUCUUAAAUUUGGGCCAUUACAUGAUCACCUUUUUACUAGCUCAUACAUCUCCUACAUCAGACCUUACAUGCAUGCUUACCAAACUUUAUUCUUUUUAACAAAACUUUAUACAUAUCAUCGUAGCACAUCUUUCAUCUUUACUAAACUCAUAUUUUUACCAAUUUCUGUAGACAUCAUCAUCAUCAUCCUAUAUAUAUGCUUCUUGUUUGAACAGUUCAUAUCAAAGAGUCAAGAUAGAGACCCACUUGACACUCACCUACUGCAGUUCAAAGCUCUAAACUUAACCAUCCUUCUCAAACCAGCAGUAAAAACUGCUUAUAGAACAUAGAAUCACCAUUAAAAACCCAUUUACAUACAAAUUACUAUCAUCUUAAUCACUUUUCCACUGUUAAUUUAUAAAUAAGUGUUAAGUAGUAAAUAAAUAAAAAAAUUAACUAAGUUUUCAAAAAAAAAGUCACUGUGACGAGAAGAAUGUUAAAAUUAAUUGGUGUUUGUUAACUCAUAUGUUUUUCUAAAAAUGGGUUAAGUUUUCUUCUGAAAUAAACAAAUGUUUUAAAAUGAUUGUUUUAUAAACUCCGAUCGUACUAUCCCAUCUUGGUGGCUGAUGUAAUAUCCCAAAUUCAGGUCUAACAUCUAAGUCGGGUUGGAUAGGUUACAAUAUAUAUAGAAAGAUUGAUAAAUAAUGCAAACUUGAAUACAAGCAAAGAAAGAAAUCAAUCAAUGUGAAUGACUAACAAGUUUAAAAUCAUAUAUUUGCAUUAUAUUUUGUAAAGCACAAGAUUGUCAUGGAAUUAGACAAUUUGUUUUGAUAAUGGUUAUAUUUUAUAUAGAUUUACUUUUAUGCACUUUCAUAUUGAGUUGAUCAAAAGUUUUGAAACUUUAUAGAAAAUUUGAAUGAAAGAGCAUAUUGAUAUAUAUGCUAUCUUGAGUGUUGAAUUAAGCAUUCUUUAGUAAAAGAGUGUACAUUUCGCACAUGGUAGGUGUGUUGGUUUCUUAUAUAUUAAUUAAGCACAAAUUAAAGAAAAAUAAUAUAUAUCACCAUAGUGUUGUAAUAUUUUGUAUAAUUUGUGAAAUUAUACAAGCAAAUAAGUUUACCUAUCUUGUUAAAUAAAACUCAUUAAGUUGGUUCUUAAUCUUGAAGAAUUAAAUAGGUUGGCUUCUUUAUUCAUUUUAUCCAACUACAAGUUAGAUUAAAGUUGUGGAAAUAGAAUGGUUGAAAAUUUGUGUUAAUGAGAAUUAGAGUUAUGGCCACAACUGAUGCCAACUAUUUCCUAAAAACAGGGAAUGAUGUCCAAAAACAUGCUGUAAAAUAAAAAUUUGGACAUGUUAGAAUAUGAAUUUAUUAUAUUAUAGUUUCAAUGUAAUACCCUUAUCCCAUCUCUGUUGCCGGAUUAGGAUUUCAGAGUAUUACUGAGAAAAAUAGAACAUUUAACUUUCCAACAGAAACAAUUGUACAAUUAAAUACCAACAUAUAACAAUUGAAUCUAAUCAUGGCAAAUAUUACACUUUUGGACCUUGAAUCGAGCCUAUGGGGCCCUAGAAACAGUUUAGGAACAAUCUGGGAUCAAAUCAAAACAAAUCAGAACAUUUUGAAAAAACAUAAAAAUUUAGGAAUACAGAGGUCACAGGCCAUAUGGCCAAGUCGUGUGACAUAGCCUAGAUUGUGUAAACAUCCGAAGUCAGGACACAUAGCUGUGUCCCAGCCUGUGUGUCUACUCAUGUGUAUAUUUGAAAUAGGGUCACACAGUCGUGUUGCAGACUGCCAAACGUGUGUGUAUUCAAAGUGAGGUCGCAAGACCAUGUGGCCGACCGUGCCACAAACUGUUUUGAGACACAAGGUCAUGUCUCAGACCGUGUAAAACAUGCACUUAAAAUAAUAAAUACACACGACCGUAUCUAGUGACUAUGUGUGGCACAUGGUCGUGUGGUAGCUUGUGUCUCAGGUCGUGUGCUCCAUUUUUAACCCCUAAAUCAAGCCAAUCAAGCAUCAUUUCUUAUACAACAAGACAUACCAUAUCUAACUAAUUUUACAUGGUUAAAAACACAUUCAAAUCAACAAAUACAUGCCAAAAUUUCGUUCAUCCUAUGUCUAACCAAUAUGCCAUCAAAAGGCACCUCAAUCCAUACAUCCAUUCAACUCAAGAACAAAGUUACAAUAAAUGAACAAGUUUUAUCAUUAGUUAACCAUUCAUGCCUAAAACCACUAAUCUAAUUGACCAAAAUAUGGGCAUACUCAACAAGCAACCAUUUCAAAACAUCAUCAUCAAAUCUUUAUAUACCAUUUAUGAUCAACUUAAUUAUAUUCAACACAAGUACACAUCCAAAAUCAAGCACAUCACUAAGUAUGCCAAAAUAACUUAACUAUUUACAUAUCAACAAUAAGACACCAUAUCCCAAAAUGAAAUAAAAAAGCUACCAAGAUGGUUGGAUAGUGUGUGCUCCAAAACAAUUCAUCCGGUUAGUCCACAAAACGCCAAAUCAACCAAUAUAGAUAAACAAAAAGGUAAGUUCUAAUUCUUGAUAUUCAAAUGCAAGAUCACACCACAUUAGUAUAUAUUUAUUUACAUCAUAAAUGAUACCUUCCAAAAUUCAUAACCAAUUCAUCAUCCACAAUUUCUCAAUACAACCAUUAAUAUUUAUAAACAAGAACUUCAUAGUAACAUUUAUCAUUUAGUAGUAAUAUAAUUAUCCAACAAAAUUGAACAAAUAAAUGCGUUUUAAGUCAUUUGAUACAUAGCCUGCUGAACUAUAGUAACUUGACUCGGAUACUCAUGAUACUACAUCACACCAAAGGUAUCAAUGAUGCAUAACAGAGGCACCGAAGUGCAGACAAAUGCAUGAAUGUGCAAUCAGAGGCACCGAAGUGAAAACAGAUGCACCAAAGUACAAACCCGUACGAGUGCGCAUUAAAACCCUAUUGGCAUGCUAAUCGUAUCCUAAUUGUUUACUACGUUCAACUGGGCAUUAUACUUAAAAUCAUAAUAUCAAUAAAUCCAUCAUUUAGAGGCACUUCUUAUUUCCGUACACAUACUAUAAAUAUGUAACUUUCAUUUCAAUAAUAUGCAAUAACAAUAAUUACCAUCAUCAAACAUUCAUUUUCUAUUUGUACUUAAUUGCAAAAUUUAAUAAUAUAUAAGUAACUCAUGAAAUUUCACAUAUAUACCAUUAACUAGAAAACAAUAAUAUAAUCAUAAAGUGACACACAUAUACAUAUUAUUACACUAUGAACUUACCUAAAAUCUACUUUCGAUUAAUACACAGGGACUACUCCGCUAUUUUUUCCCUUUUCUCGGUUAUUGUCUUUUUGACUCGGUUCUUGAUCUAUAUAGUAAUUAAAUUCAAUUUAUGAAAUUCACAUACAUUUAAAACUCAAUUCAAUGCAUGAUACCCUUAUGUUUUCAUUAUUUUCACAUUUUUCUUAAACUUUUACAUUUCUCACAAUUUAGUCCCUACAAAAUUUAACAAAAUUUUACAAUUUUCCAUGUUAGUUGAACUUCUUUCGAAACUAGUACAAUCCCUAAUUAUUCACAAUUCACAAAAUUUCUAUGCAAAUUUUAAUAAUUCACACAUUGAUCAUUAAACUCAAAAUUAACACAAAUUUUUUUACAAAAAUAUCCUAAUCAACAUUCAAAUAUGUACAACUACCAUUAAAAAUCAUGAACACCAAAAUUCCAUUACUAACCAAUCCCUAAAACUUUAACAUUUUUAUAAUUCCAUCCUCGGGUUUAAUAGUUUAAGUUACAACGAGUUCAAAAACGUAAAAAUUAUUAAAAACAGGUAAGAGAAACACUUACAUGCACCAAUUUGCUAACCGAAACUUCAAGCUCCAAAAAUGGAGUUUUUUUUUUCUUUUUCGGUGGGAGAGAGUUGAGAAGAUGAUGAUACCAUUUUUUUCUUUUGUUUCUUUUCUUUAAUCAAACUAAUUACUAAAUUAUCCUUUUAAUCUAAACUAAAUUAUUAACAUAGCAUGUCCGUAAUUAUCCAUUAACUAACCAUAAGGUUUAUCUAUCAACCAAGUCCAUUACUUUAGUUUUUCUUUAAAAAUCAAGCACAUUUAACAAAUAGAAGCCACUUUAGCAUCUUUUACAAUUUAGACCUUUUUACUAAAUUAACUAAACAGACAUUAAAAUUUCUUAGCCAAAUUUUAUUAUGACUCCAAUAUAACUCUAUAAGCAUAAAAUAAACAUAAAAUACUAACUCAUUUGUCGAAAUUGUGGUCCUGAAACCACCUUUUUUGAUACCACUGAAAAAUGAGAUAUUACAUUAAAUCUCUAAUUUAUGAUAAUGAAUGUGAGAGAAUAAUUUUCUUUGUUUAGAAAUACUAAUCAUUUUCUUUGUUUAGUAAUACUACAACUAGAAUGUGUUUCGACCCUAUUAUUAGAAACUAAUAAUGGAAACCCAACUUUUAAUUAGAAACCUCUAAUUUUAAAGUUUAAUAGGUAACACCCCGAAUUUUGGCCCUAGAAGAAAUAUGUUUUGAACAAGGGAACAGUUAGGAGACUGCACAUAAAUAUUUAGUUGUGCAAGGAAGUGACAUAAAUGAAUGUCUACUUCAGUGGUUGAGUGAUUUAGGAGUGUUUGGAACUGUCUGAGAAGUCAGGGAUUCAAGCAUUGCUUAUGCAAAAUUUUUAUUUUAAGUGAAUAAAAUCAUUGGAUCUAGAUAGUAAGUUCUUAAAUUAUUGUGGUUAAAAUAUGAUGCAAAAGAGUUGUUGGUCUAGUGGUAAGGGGUGUGUGGAGUGCACAUAGGGCCUAAGGUUCGAGUGGUGGCGCAUCAGAAAGGAAAUAUUUAUUUUGCUACUUGAGCUGUUUAGGUAGUGGAGUUGGACUGAAACACAACUAAGGGGAGUUUGCAUAGAAUUUGAAUGGAGUUGUUGGGGGAGUUGAGGAGAAACCGGUAGAAUAAUUUAAGGAGGGAUAAGGGGAGAGAUUUUAGGAGAAAAUCAAGGGAAGUGAGGGGAGUGAAGAAGUGUGCCGAAAGUGGACUUUGAUACUCAGGAAAUUUGGCCAGAAGGGAUACUGCUCAUUUUGGUAUACUUUUCAUUUCGGUUUUGUGUAGUGUUUCUCUCUCUUUUUGCUUUUUGGUGCCGAAUUUUUGCUAAGAUUUCGAGUACCACUCGGGUUUUUCUUUUGCUGCUUUUUUCUUUUAUCAUUUCUUUUGUUUUGGCCGAAUUUCUUUUUAGUUCCCUCCUUUGUCGAAUUCUUUUCUCUCUUCUCUUUGUUGCUUCUUUUCAUUUCUCUAUUUUUCCAAACCUUGACCGAACAGUGUUGAAGUAGUUCUGUGUUCCAUCUUUUGUCUAAAAUGCUCUUCUUCCUCUACUCCUUUUGAUCAACUAUUUGUCGAAUAUUGCCUUCUCUCCCCUUUUAUCUCUUUAAAUUUAUUUUCGGCUUGACAACAAUUCUCUAACAGUUCAAAUUUCUUGAGGAGUGAAAAAGUAUCGCAUAAUAUUAAAGUCAUCGAAACCUUUCUCUCAUCACUCGAUCAAAGGUAAGUAUGUAGGCUAGCAUUCUAAAGUGUAGGCUGAGUGCUUUCUAUGGUUUCAUAAGUUAUUAUGUUUGGAUUUAAACCACAUGAAUAAACAAUCCUAUUUAAUAAAAUCCGUUUGUAAUGCAGAUAUCCAUCAAAGAGAUUGUAGUCAACCUUCGUCAGUGAUAUAAGUAGGCUAAGUCACAUUUGACAAUCGAGGCUUUGGUGCUCGUGGAUCUUAGAGUGUUUUCACAAUCAGGUGUGUAAACACCCCACUGUAACCGUAGAACGACAAAAAGCUAAAAGGCCAAAAAUACGGUGUUUGAGACCACACAGGCGUGCGAUCUCUCAUGUGGUAAGCCCAACCCACAAAUCAUGGCCGAUAGACUGUAGAGGCCUCCAUGAACAUUUCCAUGGGCUUAGGCCGUAAUGGGCCACGUUGGGCCGAAAUGGGUCGUGUGGGUUCAAUAGGCUCGUGGGCACCAUACAGAUGAGAACCACGAUUUGUGAAAAAUACUGGACUGGGCUAUGAAGAUCUCAUAGCCGUGGAAAAAUCUGGGCUGAACAGGCCGCACAAGCGUGCGGGCCUACUUGGGCCGAGUAAUGGGCCUUAGGCCCAUUUGUACCAUUAUGACCAUUUAGGUUACCUGAGUCGCUCGAGGUAACUACGGACCUUUCGAGAGGUCGAUAUCUGCACCAAGACCCAAAAUAGGUAAAAUGAUCGAAAUACCCCUAUAGAGUAAAAUGACCGAAAUACCCCCAAAGGAUAAAAUGAUUGAAAUACCCCUAUAAGGUAAAACGAUCGAAAUACCCCCGUAGGAUAAAAUAACUAUUAUACCCCUAGAAGAUGAAAUGACUGUUAUGGCCUUAUGCUAUGUAUGACUGUUUUGCUCUAUGAUAUGUAUGACUAUGGUUGAGCAUGACAUUUUUCAUACACGUAUGAUAUUAUGUCAUGAUAUAUUGCAUGGGGAUGGAUUGUUAUAUUUGGAGGAAGUGUACUGUACUGACAAGGUUGCACGGGUCGCCCAAGACGACUGUGGACCUACUGAUGGCUAUAUGCCAUUUAUUUUACUGGCAGCUUUGCUGCAAUACUGUUUAAUGCUGCAACUGGUGCUAAUCUUGGUGUGUUUGGAUGGAUGGGUAGAUUUUAUCCCCCAUAUGGUGUGUUUGGCGGAACUGUAACACCCUUAACCUGAAUCCAUUCUGACAUUGUCUCACAAAAUUUAUUAUAUCUCAUAGUUUACAAUUUUAUUACUUACACCAUUUCUUCCAUGAGAAACUAGACUCAAUAAGUUUUAAUUCUAUAUUUUAUUCAUACUCUAAUUCGAUUUUCAUAAUUUAUGGUGAUUUUUCAAAGUGAGCCUACUGUUGUUGUCCAAAACUAUUUUAGUACAAGAUGUUUAUUACCAUGUUUAUAACACCCUUAUUUUCUUUCUCUACACUAUUUCUCAUCCCUUUCUCUUAUUUUCUCUUCACUUACAUAUUAAGAACAUAGGACCAUAUAUACAAAAAAACUUUACACUAACAUCAUUUCCAUACUUUUUCAAUAAUAUCAAACUUAAAAAUAUACUAAAAUCUUGAUGUACUUACCUUGUCAUAUUGAUUUUAAUCUUUAACUUGAUUUUCUCUCUCCUCCAGCUUCUAUUUCUUGAAUCUAACUUGAUAUUAUAGCUCCCCAUAGUCUCCUUGUAAUCUUUCUCUCUUGAUGGAUAUGGAAAUUCUUUUGAUUUCUAGAUGAAAAUAGUGAAUUUUUGGUGAAAGGACUAAAUUGUAAAGAAAGCAAAACUUUCUUUCUUCUCUUCUCCUCUUAACGUGAAUUGCAUGGAAAAGAUGGUGGGUUGGUUCCUUUUCAUCUUUCUUUCCACAUAUAUAUACUAAAUAAUAAAAUAAUAAAAUAUCAUUUAAAAAUCAAAUUAAAAUACUAAUAAACUAAUAUUUAUUUGUUUAUUUAAUCUAAAAUAUCUCCAACAUCAUCAUUAUCUUCUAGAUUUCUCUCUCUUCUAAUUGACCAUUUUGCCCUUCAUGAUAUUUUAAAAUUCCAUCCUUGAGUCAUCACUUAAUUUCGUAAAAUUUCAAUUUAGUCCCUCAAAAUUCCUCACCUUUUUUCAAUUUAGUCCUAAUACAUCCAUUUUCCUUAGUUUCUAGAUCAUUCCACCCUUAAAAUAUUUACACCAUUGGUCCUUCAAUUUUUUCAUAUUUACACUUUAACCCCUCAAUUUUUGAGUAUUUACUCUUGGGCAACAAAAUUUUUACGAUUUAAUCCUUUCUUGAGGUAAUAUGUCAUAAUAUACUUCCCAAUGUUGACAUAACUCCAAAAUUCCCUUUUUUGUCGCUUUAUUUCCUUAUUUUUUUAUAUCAAAGAUAAUAUCUUACUGUAAAAAUUUUUUUGGGGGGUAUUACAUUUCUCUCCCCCUCAAAAUAAAUUUCGUCCUCGAAAUUUCCUUAUUUUCUUUUGAUCAUGAACUUAUUUUUUCUUUAAUUCUAUAGUUCAUUUUUUUUGCAUAUAUUUACUUAGCUUAUCAUUUGUGUCUAUUCUUUAUUCUUUCAUUUCACAAUUUAUUUUUAAUUUAAUAUUUCAAACAUGAAUCAGAGAUAAACUUUUACCUUGUAACUAAAAUUAUUUACCUUUUUACCUGAGGCCCAGUGGACUAAAUAGAACACGUAGGAUAUAUGAAAUUGAUACAGAAGUGCUCUGUUAUACAUCAUUAAACAGAGAGCACUAAAGUGUUAUACGGGAGCAUAAAUGUGCUAAUAAUUGGAGAGCACUAGCGUGCUAUUAAUCAGAGAGUGCGCUAAGGUUCCUUAAUGAUAUACUACUAAUAUCCUAAUAGUUCUAAUCUCAUCUACUUGGGCAAAUUAUAUCAUGCAUGCAUACGACUUUUACACUUUGCGCAUAAUGCUUUUACAUACUUUACAAUUUAAACCUUGUACCAAUGAUUCGUAUAUUUAUACCUUCUCUACCUUUAAUACAUGUAAUAUAUUUCAAAAUUCACUAAUAAUCCAUAUAUAUCAUGUACUUCAUAUAUCAUUUUUACAUAUUAUGCAAUUUAGUCAUCAGCGCAAUAUUUCUUGUAGCAAUAUGUUUUUCUUUUAAUGACACAUAUAACAUUCAUCAUCGACAUGUAUUAUAAAACAUUUAUUCAUACUUUCAUGAGUUCCAAUUCAUCCUAAUCAAUUUUUUUUACUCAUAUACUUGAGUAUCACUUUCAACAUUAUCAGAAUUAGCUCGGUUAGGAAAACAUCUCUGUUUAUAAGUAAAACAAUUCUCAUCAGACUCGAGAGAUAUCACACUAUCACAGGUUACAUAAUGGCAUGCAUUUCUAGACUUCACAUAAGCUACGUUUGGUCCAAGAACCGACUAAAUCGUAGCUCUGAUACCAAUAAAUGUAACACUCUUAACCCGAAUCCAUUCUGACAUUGUCUCACAAAAUUUAUUAUAUCUCAUAGUUUACAAUUCUAUUACUUACACCAUUUCUUCCAUGAGAAACUAGACUCAAUAAGCUUUAAUUCUAUAUUUUAUUCAUACUCUAAUUCGAUUUUCAUAAUUUAUGGUGAUUUUUCAAAGUGAGCCUACUGUUGCUGUCCAAAACUAUUUUAGUACAAGAUGUUUAUUACCAUGUUUAUAACACCCUUAUUUUCUUUCGCUACACUAUUUCUCAUCCCUUUCUCUUAUUUUCUGUUCACUAACGUAUUAAGAACAUAGGACCAUAUAUACAAAAACUUUACAUUAACAUCAUUUCCAUACUUUUUCAAUAAUAUCAAACUUAAAAAUAUACUAAAAUCUUGAUGUACUUACCUUGUCAUAUUGAUUUCAAUCUUUAACUUGAUUUUCUCUCUCCUCCAGCUUCUAUUUCUUGAAUCUAACUUGAUAUUAUAGCUCCCCAUAGUCUCCUUGUAAUCUUUCUCUCUUGAUGGAUAUGGAAAUUCUUUUGAUUUCUAGAUGAAAAUAGUGAAUUUUUGGUGGAAGGACUAAAUUGUAAAGAAAGCAAAACUUUCUUUCUUUUCUCCUCUUAACGUGAAUUGCAUGGAAAAGAUGGUAGGUUGGUUCCUUUUCAUCUUUCUUUCCACAUAUAUAUACUAAAUAAUAAAAUAAUAAAAUAUCAUUUAAAAAUCAAAUUAAAAUACUAAUAAACUAAUAUUUAUUUAUUUAUUUAAUCUAAAAUAUCUCCAACAUCAUCAUUAUCUUCUAGAUUUCUCUCUCUUCUAAUUGACCAUUUUGCCCUUCAUGAUAUUUUAAAAUUCCAUCCUUGAGUCAUCACUUAAUUUCGUAAAAUUGCAAUUUAGUCCCUCAAAAUUCUUCACCUUUUUUCAAUUUAGUCCUAAUACAUCCAUUUUCCUUAGUUUCUAUAUCAUCCCACCCUUAAAGUAUUUACACCAUUGGUCCUUCAACUUUUUCAUAUUUACACUUUAACCCCUCAAUUUUUGAGUAUUUACUCUUGGGCAACAAAAUUUUUACGAUUUAAUCAUUUCUUGAGGUAAUAUGUCAUAAUAUACUUCCCAAUGUUGACAUAACUCCAAAAUUUCCCUUUUUGUCGCUUUAUUUCCUUAUUUUUUUAUAUCAAAGAUAAUAUCUUAGUGUAAAAAAAAAUUUUUUGGGUAUUACAGGAACAGAGUGGUGUGUAGAGGCUGGAUUGGGUAGGAUUUCUAACUGCAUAUCUACACUAAUUAAUGAUUUUGUAUUGUUACUACAUCGAUUAAUGAUAUUACAUACUGUUUACUGCAUGACUGAUAUUUGUUGCUGUUAUGGGCCAAGGCCCCACUGAUACUAUUACUGAAAUUGGGCAAAUGCCCUAUUGAUUAUUGGUAUUGUGAUGGGCUCAAGCCCAAUCGUUUAAUGUUACGGGAAAGGGCUUAGGCCCACACUGAACUGGACUGUUACUAUAACAGGCUCAGGCCCAAACUGUAUUUAUCUAUUGUUUAAUUGACUACUUACUUGUUAGGGGAUUGCACACUGAGUUUUCGUAAACUCAACCCGUUGUUUAACUGUACAGGUAAUCCCUAGUUGUAGUAGGGUCAGUGCUGCGAGGGACUCGAUGAUGGCCACACAACUGCAUCAGCUUUUGUUUUUAGCCUUUGAUUUAUAAGAAACUGAAUUUGGGUAUUUUUAUGUAAAAAGGCCUCUUUAAAGUUAUAAACUUUAAAUUGGGGUUUUUAUUUAUUUAGUUUGAUAUAAACUACUAGUUGUAGAAAAAGACGGGUUUUCAAAAGGUAAAUGUUUUCAAAGUUUCAAAAGGUAAAUGUUUUCAAAGACACCACGUUUUCGCAACAUUUCUAAAAAAAAACUUCCGCAAUGAAUGAGAUUUUGGAAAAUUUAUAACGUUUUAAAAGUGAUUAGCUUUUAAUGAUGCAUGCUUGGAAAUGAACAACCCGUUUUGGAAUCAUAGUUUAACAGCAAAAUGAUUAAUUGAUUUUAAAGAUUUCAACGACAACAAGUUUUACGCUAAACACCUUAAAGUGACACCGCCAGAUUCAACCAUAACUCCUAGGCCGGGUUUGGGGUGUUACAAUGUGUUUCAACCCUAUUAUUAGAAACUGAUACCCUAUUAUUAGAAACUGAUAAUGGAAACACAACUUUUAAUUAGAAACCUCUAAUUUUAAAAUUCAAUAGGUAAAAGCAAGUUAUCGUUAAGUGCCUGUGAUACGCUAGUAAAACUCAUUCUAGAAAAAAAAGUUUAAUGGAAACAAUUGUUAUCCAUUGCGUAUAGAGGAUGAAUUUGAAUACUAUUAAUUAAGUUCAUUGUUUAUUGUUUAAAUGUCUAAAGUAAGGGAGACAUUAAAAGAACUCUACCUUUAUAAACAUAAGAAGUGGUGCCACUUCAACAAGUAAAGGUAGGGUCUCUCUUGUAAAUGUUUAUUAUGAACAAGAUAAGCACAUGAUCAUUUUAGUGCUAAAAGUGAACAACCUCUGAUAGAAAUAUAAACGAAUAUUAUGUAUAGUGUAUUUCAACUUCUAAUACUAGGAGUUGUGGUUCAAUCUUCGGACACCGACAACUUAUUAAAACUUUGAAAAGCAUCCGCUUAUUGAUGGUUCAUAUUGAGAGGUAUCAUCUUUAAUGCAUAAUAUUUGUUUGAGUGAAUGACCAUAAAGUAUGGUACCAACAUUUAAACUAAGGGUGAUUGUUAGUAGUUUAUAAUUUUGGCAGUAAAAAUAUUUUAUUAUGUAGAAAAGUCUAAUAAAUUAUAAUUAUUGGUCAAAUAGUUGUGUUGUAAAGACAAUUUUUGUAUGUAAAGUUGUCUUAUAAACUUUAUGUAAAGUUGUGUUGUAAAACAACAAAAUUAUAUGAAAAUGUAUCUUAUUAAAAGAUACAUCCAUAUGAAAGGGUAUCUCAUGAAAAGAUACACCUAUUAGAUGUCUAUAUAAAAGAUUUUUCUGUUAGUUAUUUAAAUUGUUUUGCUUGGAGUGUUGAGGGCUUUGUUGUAUCUUGAAGGUAUUUUAAAAUCUUAAAGAAAGUGCUCUACACACCUUAAAGUCAUUAUAUUUUAUAACAUUAUUUUAUUUUUCUAACUUUUAUUUUCCUAUUAUUUAUUUUUCUAACAGCUAGAAUAUAGGAAAAUUAUUAUGUUUCUAGCUAUAUAUUGAAUACAAGUAUGUUGGUGUUUAGAACUCGAACUUUGAUGGUUGAUCGAGAGAUUUGAAGCAGAAAGAAGAGACGGGAAGUUUUAAGUAGAAAAAUAAUUGAAGACUGGAAUAUAUAAUUGAUUUGCACCUCAACUAUUUAAAUACAAAAGUUCAAGCUAAAAAUAGAAAAAAAAAGUUCUAAAAAUCUGCUAAAAAUCUGGUAACAAAAUAGCAAACAAAUCAAAAAUCUAAUCUCCUAAAGUCAAGGAGAAUUAUUCAAACUUAGUAACAGAAAAAAUUUAAAUGGCAGCAAUCUUAAACACAUGAUCUUAACACUCCUCCUUGUUUAGAUGCUACAAACUCCAAGUUUCUUCCUGAAGCUUUCAAACUUGCUAAGUGGCAAUGGUUUGGUGAAGAUAUCUGCAAUUUGAUCUUCAGAUUUGUAGUAACAAAGAGACACAUCACCACUCUUUUAAACUUCUCGAACAAAAAAUAACUUGAUGUUAAAAUGCUUAGUCUUCCCAUGAAAGACUGGAUUGUUAGAGAUUGCAAUGGCAGCCUGGUUAUCAACUAGAAUCUUUGUGCUUUGCUUCUACUCCAUGUUUAGAUCAACAAGAAUCUUCCUUAACCAGAGAGCUUGGUUAACUGUUGCUGUUGCAGCCAUAAAUUCUGCCUCAACAGUGGAUUGAGCUACAGUUUCUUGCUUCUUCGAGCUCCAAGAGAACAUGCCUGAUCCAAGGCAAAAACAAUAACCAGAGGUACUCUUCAUAUCAUCAGUUAAGCCACCCCAAUCACUGUUAGAGAAACCAAUCAACUUCAAUUCCCUAUGCUUUAAAAACUUUACUCCAUAAUUCCAGGUCCCCUUGAUGUAUCUGAUAACUCUUUUUGCAGCUCUCAUGUGAGUCUCAUUGGGACAAUGCAUGAAUCUGGAGAGAAUACUUACAGCAUUCAAGAUGUCGAGUCUGGUUGUUGUUAAGUACAUUAGACAACCUACCAAACUCCUGAACUCAGCUUCAAUGACUUUGGCAGAACCAUCAUCUUUGAUUAGCUUCUCUUUUUGAUUCAUAGGAGUACUCAUUGCUUUGCAAUCUUCCAUAUGGAAUUUUCUAAGUAUCUCCUUUGCAUACUUUCUUUGACAGAUGAACACUUCAUCUUGGCUUUAUUUGAUCUCAAUGCCAAGGAAAUAAGACAUCAGAUCAAGGUCUGUCAUUUCGAAGACAUUAUGCAUUUCCAAUUUAAACUGAUUAACUUGAUCGAUAUUGCUCCUUGUAAUCAAUAAGUACAAAUAAGCAAGCUUUUUCCUUUGAUUUCCUUAUCUUCUUUUCUUUUUGUGCUUUAAUCUGUGCCACAGUAGGAUUUGCUGGAAGAGGUGGGACCUCGUAAUCCUCUUCUACAGGUUCCCAAAGAUCCAAAGCCUCUAUGUAAGUCUCCAUGCGAACUGCCUACAUCUGGUAAUUGUCUCCAUCGAAGACUGGUGGUGCAGCAACUGAAAAACUGGACCCUCCUUCCAUAUUAACACGCAAAUAACCUAACAAAUCCCUCAAGAAAAUAGCUCUGAUACCAAUUUGUUGGUGUUUAGAACUCGAACUUUGAUGGUUGAUCGAGAGAUUUGAAGCAGAAAGAAGAGACGGGAAGUUUUAAGUAGAAAAAUAAUUGAAGACUGGAAUAUAUAAUUGAUUUGCACCUCAACUAUUUAAAUACAAAAGUUCAAGCUAAAAAUAGAAAAAAAAUGUUUUAAAAAUCUGCUAAAAAUCUGGUAACAAAAUAGCAAACAAAUAAAAAAUCUAAUCUCCUAAAAUCAAGAAGAAUUAUUCAAACUUAGUAACAGAAAAAAUUUAAAUGGCAGCAAUCUUAAACCCAUGAUCUUAACAAAGUACUACUUGGAAGCCAACACCCACAAACAUGAUAAAAGUUAAUUUUGAUGAGAGUUUUGACAUGGAAGCAAGAAAUGAGGAAGAGGGUAGUUAUGCAGCAUUGUGAUGAUUUUUUAGUCUGACUAUGCAACCAUCCAAUUUAGGGUGCAUUCUCCAUUGUGGUGAAAAAGCACUUAAAGAACAUUUGGUUUUUGCACUUAAAAUGUGAUGGAAAAAUGUUUUUCCACCCAAAUACAAAAACUAGGAUAUAAAUGUUUUUGACUUUUAGCUUUUAUGUUUGGAAGUGAAAAUUAUCAAAAUAUCAUUAUUUAUAUUAACUAUUUAAAUGGUAUAUAAAAAUUAGAUUAAUUUAUAUUUUAUAUAUCAUUAUAUUAAAUUAUUUAAAUAUUAUUUAUUAUUAUAUAUUUUAAUAAUUUAUAUAUCAUCUAUUUUACAAAUAAUUUAUAUUAAUUACUUAAAAAAUAUUUGGAACUUAUAUUUCAUGUAUCAUUAUAUUAAAUUAUUUAAAUAUCACAUAAUUUAACUAAUUUUUUACUUUCCACUAUCAUGUCUAAAGAAAAGGAUAUUUUAACUUUUAACAAGAAUUUUUUGUAGCAAUGGAGAACACCAAAAAUUAAUAAACACACUUUUUCAUAGUAAUUUUCAACCACACUUUUCAACCGCAACCCUAAUGAAGAAUUAAUCCUUACUAAAGUUACCGAAGCACUAGCUUCCACCGUAGCCAUUGAAAUGGCGCUCCAAUUGGGAUUGCAACACAUUAUUAUUAAAGGAGAUGCUCUCCAAGUGGUUUCGGAGUUGAAGGAAGACAAAGGAGACCUACCAACAACCGGACCUUGAUAGCAAAGAGUUGAAUACUUGCUAAACAGGUUCAGCAAUGUAGGUUUCAACACAGGAAGAGGCAUGCUAAUGAGGUGGCACAUCAUCUGACCAAACAGGGCCUUAAUUGUUUUCCAUCUUUUGUUCAUAUGUUUGUUUUGAAAAGGUAAAACAAAUCCUCACCUAUUGAUGUUAGAACGGUUGAAUUGCUAAAAGCAUGCUGCAUGCAUAACCAUGCUUUAGGUUAGGCUUCAAAUUAAAUAAAUUUUAAAUUAUUUUUAUUUAAAUUUAAUUAUAAAAAUAAAUUAAUAUCAAUAGAAAAUUAUAUAAAAUUUUAAGAUAUUUUAUUUUUCAAUAAUAAAACGAAUCAUUCACCAAACCUAAUUCUUCAAUUUCUUUUUAAUUAGAUCACAACUCAAGCCAAGCUAACCAAUAAACACCCAAAAUCUACCAUCAUUUUCAUUUUCAUUUUUUUUUCUUUUGUGACAAAGUAGACAGAAGAUUCGGUUUGGAUAAGCUCUACGUUAUUAAGUCAAAAGCUGAAGUAAUUUUAAUCAUAAAUUGUUUUAUUUGUCUAUAAUGCAAAACAAUGACCCAGUUAGUACAAUAAAGCUUUAACUUUGUGGAACAUUUCAGUCCAAAAAAAAAAAAAAAAAGAAUUGUGGAAAUUUUAGAGCAGUUGACCAUUUCUUCGGAAUUAGUUUUCUCACUUCUUGUCCAUAUUCCAUGUAUAUUAUUUCAAGAAAUUAGGUUUAGAAAUUUGCAUAAUUCAACCAUUGAACUAAUAAAUAUUAAACAAAAAUUGGGUGGCAAAAAAAAUCUUAUUAAAAUCAUAUACUAUUACUAAAAUUUAUGAUUAAAUUAGUGUCACGAGUUAACGGGACAUUAACAAAUUAUAUUAUUUGAGGGUAUUUUAAUCUUUUUAUUAAAAAAGAUGAUGUCUCAAAUUAACUCACAAUCUAAUCUAAUUUUUCAUUUUAAUAUUGUAAAUAUUUCAUGUUUUAUUAUUAAUUUGUUUCAAAUUAUACAUUUCAUUAUUUAUUUUAUGUUAUUUUUAAACACAUCUGUAUUCUAAGUACCUAAUUUUCACUUAUGGGUAUCAGAGGCGAAUCUAGGGAGGCUGAUAGGGGUCUCGGUCCCCUUAAAAUAGAAAAUUAUUAUUUAAGCCAUUUAGAAAAUUUUAAAAUUUUAAAUUAGUAAAUGUAAAAUUACACUUUGACCCCUCUAAAAUUAUAAAAAUUUGAUUUAAUCCUUUAAAAAUUAUAAAGAUAUAAACUAUUAAAAAUAAAAAUUUCAUUUCGGCCCUGCCUAAAAAAUUUUUUUGACUUCACCCCUAAAGUAUGAUAGAGUUUCUAGUAUGAAUAAUUUUCUUUGGAAGUGUUAAACAAACAAAGGAGUUAAGUAAACAGUAGUUUUCAUACAGAAAUAUUCGGCGUUGAUGUUUCCCUUUCGAAUAAUUAAAUUAAGACUUAGGAAAAGGGAAAACAAUGAAAAAGAAACUAAAAUUGAGCUUAAUUUAUGGAGUUGGGUUAAAAUUUUAAUAUUUAAAUAUAAAAAUUCUAAUAAUUUGAUCUGGUCCGUUUCAUCUAGCAGACUAAUAAUAAAUCUUAAAACAUAUUAUAUUUUAAUUUAAAUAAAACCAAAACUAAUACACUUGACCUACAUCUACAUGUGAUCUAUGCUUCAUUUAAAUUAGUCUAAAUUAGACGAGAUCUUGAUUAGGAGUCAUUUAUUUAUAUUAUAAGUCCCUGAAACAUGCAAAACUUACAUUUAAAAAUUAAUAUUUUUACGUUGUUGUUAGAAUAUAGGGUUUGUUAAUGUUUUCGUGUGAAGUCAGCUGUUGACAUUACCAAUCAGAUAAUGAAAAGGAAACAUGGCAAUUAUUCCAUCCUAAUUGUCACCAAAUUAAGUUAAUCCAAAAAUUACCAAACGUUUAGUACUUCAAUGGUAGAGUCAGCUCUUUCUUCUAGUCUAUCAAAAAAAGUCAAUUUAACCCCUAACUCUUGGAUGGAAAAGUUUUUGCUAUGAACUUGUUGAAGUGAAUCUCAUGUGAUAUAAACGCAUCGCAAUCUCCGUGUGUAACUAAAAAUAUUUGAGAGAUUGAAUAAUUUAAAGGGGAAAAAAAAAGAAUUUACUCCCUCCACUAACAAAUUACUCUUGCCAACGUAUGUAUGAAAGUAAACACCUUUAAUUAAUCAACAAAUGCUAAAGUUCGAGGUUUAGAAUUAAUUAAAUACCAAUAUAAAUAGUUAAUUACUUUUUUGAAAUAAGGAUAAAUCAGUUUGUGAGGUUUGAAUUUUUUGUAUCUUAACAAUUGUUCUGACUUUAGAGUUUGAAGGUUUUUUUUUUAUCCAAAUUAACCUAUGAACUUAGUAAUUUGUCUCUCAUUAAGGUUUAAAUUUUUUAUUUAUCUAAGUUAAUUCUUAAAAAUCUUGAAAUUCGAGAAUAAUUGUCAAGUUAAAAAAAUUUAGAUUUCAAUAUGAGAAUAAUCUACUAGUUCGUAACCUUAAUAUAAAAACAAUUGUUAAGUUGAAAACUUAAUUUAAAAACAAAUUCAAACCCUUCUUAAGUUUACGAUUUAACCCUUUGAAAUAUUGCGUUAACUAGUAAGAGUAAGAAUUAUUUUGUGUUGAUGAUUAAAUAAAUAUUUAAGUGGAGAUCAAGUUUUACCUCAUUUGUCAAUUGUCAGGUGAAGAAUAUAUACCCCUAAAGGCCUAUCAAAAACGGACCUAUCUCUAUCUAUAUAUCUUAACUAAUUUACUAUUCAUUUUUAAUGAAAAUCAAUAAAUCAAUGAAAACGUUAUAAAAAGAAAACUACGUGAAUAAAUUAUAUGUGUAAAAUUGAAAUAUUUCUUAUUUUAGUACAAUGGUAAGGAACAUUACAUUUUUAAGGAAAUGAUGUCAGGUUCAAACCUUAAAGAUAAUAUUCUUCUUCUUGAGAAGAACAAUCCCAAACUCCAAAAUGAACCCUUAUGAAUUAUAUAAAAAAAUUUUGAAAUAUUUCUAUAAAAUAUCAUUAAAGUUUUUUAUUUAAAAAAUGUUAUGGGUAUACUUUUACCUCUUGUAAAAAAGUCUUUCAUUUCUCAAUUCUUAUGGCAUAGUAAAUUUAUCAUUAAUUUUCAUCUUUAGGUAAAAAAAAUGGUUAUUAUUUGUGUAUUAAAUAAUUGUUAGGAUAAAUUUUAAAAUUGUAUAUGAAUUUUGGUUUAAUGUUAAUUAUAUACAUUAAUUUUAAUUUUAUGUAAUUUUAUAAAUGAAAUUUUAAUUUGAUCCAAUUCUAACAAAUUAUUAACACAGUUAUUGAUAUAACAUCAUUUUAUGUUUAUAUGCUAUAUACAGAAAUAAUUAUGUUUAUUCAAUAUAAAAAUAAAUUGAUGUAUUUAUUUCUUUAAACAUAUAUGAUUGAAUCAAAAUUAAAACAUCGUGUAUAUAUUUGAACCACAAUUAAAAUUUUACAUAUAAAAUUACAUAAAAUUACAAUUUAUAUACGUAAUAAACUAAAAUUCAUAUAUAAUUUUAAGAUUUAUGUCCACAAUUCUCUAAAGCUAAACGGUGAUGAUUACCAUGGAAAUUCAAUGUACUUAACUAAUUGGUUGAUAGGAACAGGCAUGAUGAAAUCCAUGAUGGGAAGAGAGAGAAUUCAAAAACUGGAAUGCCCCCAUUAAUCCAUGCAAAUAAACUUUUUCGGUAUUACAUCAUAAUUCAUUUAAUUUUAUCAUCAUCUCUAUGCCAUAACCAUGUUUAAAGUAAAAUACUUAUAUAAAUUGAGACAUUAAUAGUUUGUAUUAUAUAAAUUAUGACAUCCAUAUAUCCAUAUUAUAAUUUUUAUGAAAAAUUAGAGCUGGCAGAUAAAAAAUGGCUUACUGAUCAAUGAAAAAUAAACUUUAUUUCUUGUAAAUUGACUUAUCCUUUUAAAAAGUAUAAAUAUUUUUUUAAAAUUCAUUUAUGAGUAAUUUUAUUAUUAUAAAAAUUAAUUUUGCAAAGUCUAAUAUUAUUAUAUUAAUAAUUUUAUUUUAAAACUAUUUAAAAAUACUAAUAUCAAAUAUUAUAAUGUUGAAUCCUAGUAACAUACAUAUUAAAUUAUUUAAAUUAUGUAAUAUUGCAAUUUUAUUUUAAUACUAAAUUUUAACAACAAUAAUUUUAAAUUUUAGAUCAUAUUUUUAAUAUAUUAUUGAAAAAUAUUUAUAUUAAUAUUUUAAUAAUAAAUAUAUAUAUUAAAAUUUAUAAAUAUUUAAUAAUAAAUGUUUUAUAGUAUAAAAUAUGAAUAUUUUAAUUAUAUAGAUAUGAGCAUUUGUUUAAAUCAUGUUUAGUUUCAUUUAUCUCCCAACUAUAAUGUGUUAUUAUACACCGUCAUAUAUAUAAUAUAUGUAAUUUAAGCAUUGUUUAUUAUUAAAUUUAUAUAUGAUAUUAAUUAUUAUAAAAUAUUAUCUUAUUAUAAAAGAAAUUCUAAUUAUCAAAAAGAAAUGUUACUUUAAUAUUUUGUAACAAGUAUAUUUAUGUUGGGCUUGUUUCAAUAAUAACUUUAAAAUGAUUUUAGAAAAAAAAUUGUCAAAUAAUAAAAAAAUAUUUUAAGCAAAAUAAUUCAAACACAAAAAACUAUCAACUUUUCCAUAAAAUCAAUCCAAUUUUAAGAAAACAUUUUGUGAAAAUUGUUUUAGGUAAAACAAAAGGAACCUAUAUUUUAUAUAGUAUUUGAAAAGUUGUUGUAUCUAGAAUUAUUAUCUUAAAUAUUUUUUUAGGUCUAAUUUUAAAUUUCAUCCCUUUAUGAAAAUUGAGAAGUUAAAUUUUCUAUUUUACUUUAUCAGUCUGUGCUUGAUUGUUUAUUAAUUUGUCGUGUAUAAAUGGUUAAAUUAUUGAUUUUUGUUAAUUACUAGCAUGUAAAUUGUCAAACUACUUGUUCUCAAGGGAACGGUAAAGUUUAAUAGUAUUAUCAAUUUAGAACAAUUUUUGAGUUUUUUCUUUUAUUUUUCAUGUUCGAGUCCAUAAUUACUCCUUCUAAUAAUGUCGUCUUUAAAGUUUGAGUUCGAAUUCAAAUUCUCUUUUUGGAAGUACAAUAUGCCUUAUAAUUAUACCUAAUACUUUUGAUUUUUGUAAAAUAUAAGAAUCAAAAUUGUGUAGUAGGAUUAAUUUCUAGAUUUUUUAAAUUUAAAAUUUAUAAUAUUAUCAAUCGCAUCACACACAAAACCAAAGAACAAGAGAAUCUAAAAAACACGUGGACCAUUAAUUUAGGAAUGGACAUUAUAUUUUAUUAGUGGAAUAAACUCAUGCAAAAUGGUUGGAAAACACAUACAGGAUUAUAUAUACUAAUCAUUUUUAUUAUUAAGCAGAAUCGGAAAUAAAUAAAUACGAGCGAAACCACUGAAUAAUACAGCAUUGAAAUGCAAUUUGUCUACAUCAUUAUUGUUCUUCACUUCAAACGCGGAGACUAGUCUAGGCUCCCAAUCUUUUGCUUUAUCUCUCUAGAUAUAUCCUUUUCAAACUAUCUUUUUGUAGCUUUAUUUGCAUCACAGCAUUAUCUUUUCCUGCAAACAACUGUUCAAUGAUUAAAACAUGCAAAACAUUCUGAAAUAAUGCACCCUUACCAGAUGACAAAAAAAAAAAAAGAUUCUAAUGUAUCUUACCUUGGAUUGGAGCACGGUCAAAGCCGUGGCUUAGUAGUGGUGAGGAGGAGGGGGUGAAGCGUAGACAUAAUGGGGUGGUGGUGGUGGAGGAGACUUGUAUUUGUAAACUGGAGGAGGAGGUGGUGGAGACUUGUACUUGUAAGGGUGCUUGGGGGGUGAUGGUGGGGGUGGUGGGGGUGACUUGUACUUGUAGGGGUGCUUGGGUGGUGACGGUGGGGGUGGGGACUUGUACUUGUAAGGAUGCUUGGGGGGUGAUGGUGGUGGUGGUGGAGGUGACUUGUACUUGUAGGGGUGCUUGGGUGGUGACGGUGGGGGUGGGGACUUGUACUUGUAAGGGUGCUUGGGUGGUGACGGUGGUGGUGGUGGGGGGGACUUGUACUUGUAGGGAUGCUUUGGUGGGGAUGGUGGUGGUGGUGGUGGGGACUUGUACUUGUAGGGAUGCUUAGGUGGUGAUGGUGGUGGUGGUGGAGACUUGUAUUUGUAAGGAUGCUUUGGUGGUGAUGGUGGUGGAGGUGGUGGGGACUUGUACUUGUAAGGGUGCUUGGGUGGUGAUGGAGGUGGAGGUGGUGGAGACUUAUACUUGUAAACUGGAGGUGGUGGGGGUGGAGACUUGUACUUGUAAGGGUGCUUGGGUGGUGACGGAGGUGGAGGUGGUGGAGACUUAUACUUGUAAACUGGAGGUGGUGGGGGUGGAGACUUGUACUUGUAAGGGUGCUUGGGUGGUGAUGGUGGGGGUGGGGGUGGCGACUUGUACUUGUAGGGGUGUUUAGGUGGUGAUGGUGGUGGUGGUGGUGGUGGUGGGGACUUGUACUUGUAAGGAUGCUUGGGUGGUGAUGGUGGUGGAGGAGACUUGUACUUGUAAGGAUGCUUGGGUGGUGAUGGUGGUGGAGGUGGUGGAGACUUAUACUUGUAAACAGGAGUUGGUGGGGGAGGAGAUUUGUACUUGUAAGGUUUCUUGUGUGGUGGUGGUGGUGGAGGAGAGUAGAUCGGAGGAGGCGGUGGGGGAGACUUGUAAUGGUAGGGUGGUAGUGGGUUCUUCUUAGGAGGUGGUGGAGGAGAAGAAUAGGUGUAAUCUGCUGAGGUUUCAAAAGGCAAACUGAGAGAAACUGCUAGAACUAAAAGAGUGACAAAGAGAG
rnacentral:lncRNA from 1 species